GACAAUCAUAUUUCCAAUUAUCCAGCUGGUAUUUUACAAGUAUCCCUUCUUGAAUACUCGGUUCAAUAAAUAAGUUGUUCACACUUCACAGCCAUCCAUGUGCAUAUACAGUAAGUUAAUAACACAAAAUCCGAGUAAAUUUAUGCCACAACAAGGUUUAUUAUUGUUAUUUCAAAUAACUGAUGCGACAACAAAUAAUAUUAAUCACGGACAUCAUAUGAUAUUAGUAAGGCGUUGUUGAGGAUGAGAAGCAUGUACAACUCCUCGUUUUCUUUGAUGAGCGCCUCCGCACCAGGCAUAUCUGGAAGCUCUAACCAACACAUGAUGAUAGGGUUGUAAUUAAUAUCCACACAGUCGAGCAGAUGCAAGAACUGUUGCCCACUCUUGUCACCUUGGUAGUCCUUGAUCAGUCCGUGGCACACGUUGAGGCGUCUCACCACACCUUCAUACUCCAUCUCACAAUAACUAAGAACGUGCAUUGCCACUGUUCCCUUCUUGGCAUCUUGCAGCUUUUGCUUGAUCUUACCACUAGCGGCAGUGACACGGCUCUUAAAGAUGUCGACAGUGACAAGCACUAAGUCACGGAGGUCCUUAGCCUCGGCACUUCGAUUGUCCGACUGAAGGGUGGACAAACAGAAUUCUUGCGUGAUAGAUUUGUUGCAGGGGUUGUUGAUCGAGGCCUUCUUGCAUGCUUCCACCAUGAGCUUGGUCGCCUUGGGCUUGCCAGUGUCAGAGCCACUAGCAUGAGUGGAAAAAAGGAAGAAUAUGAUGGUGGAGAGGACGAUGGUAGUCCUUGGCAUUGCUACCAUUACUACAGGGCUAGCUAGAAGCCUUGAAGUACUGAAGCGCUGAGAGGGAGGUGGAGAAAAAUAGACAGAGAAGGAUGUGUAUUGCAGAGAUGGAUGGGUGGAUGGAGGUGAUGUACAUGAGGCUGAGAAUUCUUUAUAAUGCCUGCAAUGGGGUAUCAUAAAUGCAGUAUGCAGCUUUGGUCCAGAAUAUGUGUACUAUCGGUGUCCAGUAAAUGUUGAAUGCCCAUUUUGGAUCUCUACAUAUUAAUGCUCUCUCUAUGUUCACAAAUACACAGAUGCUCACUAUAGAUCUUGUUGUAGUAACACAUAUCUUACUUAUAUGAAUCCAUUAAUGCAACGUAGCUUGAUCAAGGAUAUCCCAAAUGAUUAGUGUGCACCGAAUGCCCAUAGAUAUGUUGAUGCUCAUUUUGGUACGUCUUAUUUGCAUUGGUGUUUUCUAAACAUCAUUUUGUAUAACUGAUUUGUUACUUCUACCUCCCUUUGGGGGACGAUUAUAUUUUCCCUCAUCAAGUCUAUAAUUGCUCAUUUUUUCUUUGCAAUUUUCGAGUAGUUACAAAUAAUUCUCAGGGAGCAGGCACUUAGUUAACUUGGUGACACAAUAAAUAUUUUUGUUAAAAUAUCAAAGUUUUAUAUCUUAAAUUUUUUUAUUUCCAAGUCGAUUAUUGUCUGAUGGGUUGACUUUUACAACAGUUGUAUUCCCCCAGUUAAAAAUCACAACUUAUUUUAGGGAUUAAAUGAUGCCAGCCGGACUAACAUAUCAUUCGUAGGCACUGUCAAAAAAUAAGCAUGUUUACUGCCCACCGCCUAAGAAAAUAAAAAAAAAUUACCAAUACCAACACGUCACAGUAUGGGUUUAUUUGGUUUCGAUUCUCGUUACUACGUAGUAGGAAGGAAAAAAAAGAGCUAUCGAUCAUAAGGAGGUAACCUGUAUCAUAGGUACAUGAUGCGCACGUACACGCCGGUAUCUUAUAUUUUAUAUUUUAUAUCUUAUAUUUACUAAUUGGAAGCACCUUUCAAGCCUUCUCAUUAAUCAACAUUAUAAAAAUUAAUUACACCGUUGUAUUAUAGAAUUUACGUCUAAGAUGAAAGGAGAACUUACGUAACAUAAACUUGGAAGGAAAAAAGAUAUAGGGAAAGGAGAAUAAAAAUAGAAGUAAAACAAAGAAAAUAAUUUAGAUGGGCCAGCCCAUUAUUGUUUGCCUUGUGCGAAAUUCUGACUAUUUAUGGCGCUGUGCGGAAAAUAGAGUUUUUCCAGCUGCAUGGGCAGAAAAAUAAGUGGGCUGGCUUUGCUGGGCCACCGCGCGUGGCCCACGUACAACAAUUCUUUUUCUAGCAAACAAACGCAUAAGACCUUUGUACCACCUCGGGUAGAAAGAUUGUUUUUUCGACGGUGAACGGAUGAAAAUAUAGGCAAAACGCACCUUGCUUCAUUAGUAGUAGCACAUAUGCCCGUGCAUUGCAACGGGAGAGAUGUUUCUUUGGAGAAGCAAUGGGAGAGAUAAUUGAUGUAUCCACCAAAAAUGAUCUCCAUAGCGGUGUGAUAGAGAGAGGAGUUGUGGUCUUCUAGCGGGUCAUGUUUCUCCCGCCAGAUAUUGAUAGUGGUGCACUUAGUCGGCAUAGCGGCAACCAUACAACUCGUGCAUUUUUUUCCUUUGGGUCAGUCUCUGUCUCGGGGUUGUGUCUGCCUCUACGUUUGGUAGCUAUGCGGCGACCUUCAGAGCACGGUUGCUUCGACCACUCUCUCUUAUGAUGGCGUAACCGGAUGAAUUACUAAUUGUAGCGCUUAAAUCCUGUUUCAUUAGCAUAUAUAUUUAGCGCAUAACCAGAUAUCAAUGUCCCUUCUUUAUUAGGGUUUAUUUUCUUUGAUUAUUUUAGCGCUCACGUGCCCACAACUAUUUUAUUCGAGCCAAACCAACAUAUUCUCUUUUAUUGGACCAAGAAAAAAUUGCUCCCUCAGACGACUCAGUAGGGAGUGUGGUUGAGGCCCAAUACAGCCUAUAUGACGCUAGUUGCGUAAAAUAACGUGUGAGAUGCACAUCAGUUCGUGUAUGGACCAACACACUGGUAGGCGCCAAGACGACCUAUGUUAGGAAGGCACGGAAAAAUCCAAAAAAUAAUGAGUUGAAGGAUCAAAAUCAUGUCCUGAAAGAGCCGACUACGUGCUCAUUGCCACUCGAAGAAACGAGUCCUACCAACCAAUGGCCAGCUCAAACCUUUAAGAUCAUACUCCAAUGUGAGAUUGGAUACAAUUUUUUUAACUGUUUAAAAAAUAUAAAUUGCUGAAUAUUCCUGAAAACAUGAAUAAUUUUUAAAAUCACAAACACUUUUUGAAAUUCUUUACAUUUUCAGAAAUACACAACAAAAUUGGAAACCCUCAAAAUUCACAAAUUUAUUUGAAAUCAUAAACCUUUUAUAAUAACAUGAACACGUUUUGAAAAUGUGAUUUUGUUUGAAAAAGAAACAUAUUUUGAACAUUCAAAACAUUUUUUGAAAAUGUGUUUCUAUAAACUUGGACAUUACUUUGAAUUUGCGAACAUUUCACUAAAACAAAAAUAUUUUUCAUAUUUGGAACAUUUCCUAAAUGCAUUUUUUUUGGGAAAAUCUCAAACAACUUUGGAAAACACAAAGAAAAAAUGGAACAUUUUUUGAAACGUGAACGAAUUUUGGAAUGAGAACAAAGCACUAUUGGGAAAAGGCUAAUUAGUGGCGCACAUAUUUUUGCUAUUAAUGGCGCACUAUAGGUGCGCCAGUAUUACCACGCCACUAGUAACAAAUAGUAAUGGCGCAUCUAUAGUGCGCCAUUACUAUGCCUAGAAGGUGCGCCAUUACUAUCUGACUUAGUAAUGGCGCACCACAUAGAAGUGCGCCAUUACUAACAAUUUUUUUUCAAAAAAAAUAUCCAAAUUUUUUCAAAUAUUUUUCCCUUUUUUUCUUAAUCUCAGGUCAAUAUGCUUAAUCUCAAGUCAAAUCGAUCCUAUUAAACCUUAUUGAUGUCUAGGACUUUGUUCAUGUUCAUGAGUGUGAUGAAAUUUCAAACUUCCCGGUCAUAUUACGUAUCAUAUUUUGAAAUGUUACUAGUGGCGCACCUAGCAAAUGGUGCGCCACUAGCAAGUUUGAUUUUUUUUGUUUUCCCCUCUCUAGAUCCUAAAAGCCCCGUAUCUUUCAUUCUGUUAGGUUUUUGUGGAUUCUGAAAAUCUUGUAACUUUUCGAGUAGAUGCUUUUUCAUAUAUAAAACUUUUUAAUCCGAGUUCAUAUGUAAAAGUUAUGCCCAUUUUACUAAAUUCCAGAGAGAUUUUGCAAAUAAAGUCGAAAUUUAUAUUUGUAAAUUUUCCCAAAACCUAGACCACAUAUCACAUGGAAAACUUAUUUUCUUUUAUUUUUUUGACAUUUCCAUCAUUUUCUUUUUUUUUCUAAAACUGAAAAGACGGUCCAGGGGGUGGGGGUGCAAAGAAAGUUAGUAAUGACGCACCUUCACAAAGUGCACCAUUAUUAUGUGUAUGACUUGGUCAAACCUUGGUCAAAGUUAGUAAUAACGCACUUUGUGUAGGUGCGUCAUUACUAAGUUUGACAUACUAAUGGCGCACCUAUGCAAAAAUGCGUCAUUACUAAGUUUGAUCAAGGUUUGACCCAGUCAUACACAUAGUAAUGAUGCACUUUGUACAGGUGCGCCAUUACUAUGUCAACUAGUAAUGACGCACUAUCCUCUAGUGCGCCACUGCCAACAAUUUUUUUUAUUUUUUCUUCAAAACUAGUACUAGCGCACCACACACCAGGUGCACCACUAGUAAUAUGUCAAUAAUGUUGCACCUGUAUCUAGUGCGCCACUGCAUAUAUGGUGCGCCAUUAAUGUCCACAUUAGCUAUAGCCCUUUUCCUAAUAGUGAAGAUUUAAUGUUCUGAACAUUUUUCGAAAAGGAAUAUUUAUUAACAUCCCAAACAUUUUUAAAAAACGGAUUUGUGUGAUAUUAUGAGUUUUAUUGAAAAUUUUGGUUUUACGAAAAAAGGGGAGAUAAAGAAAUAAACUUGAAAGUAAAAAAGAAAAAAGAAAAGAAAAGAAAAUAGAAACCAAUGGAGAAAGAAAAAUAGAAACAUAACACAGAACAAAAAAAAACGGUUCGACCGAGCUCGAGCGCCCGAUGCGAAUUUGUGACUAUUUUGGAAUGAGAACAAAUAUUUAUAUUAUAAACUUUUUCAAAAAGGAAUAUAUUUAAAGUUCUGAACAUUUUUUAAAAAAAUUGAUUCUUAUGAUAUUAUGAAUUUUUUGAAAAUUUUGAAUUUACAAAAAAAGGGAGAAAAAUAAACUUGAAAGGAGAAAACACCAAAGAAAAAGUGAAAGAAAUGGAAAAAAAUAGAAACAUAUUUUAAAGUUCUGAGCAUUUAAAAAAAUCGAAUUUUUAUGAUAUUAUGUAGUUUGUUGACAAUUUUGAAUUUACGAAAAAAGGAGAAAAAGGUCAACUUGAAAGGGAAAAAGACCAAACAAAAGGAGAAAGAAACGGAAAAAGAAAAACAGAAACAUAACACAAAACAAAAAAAAGAAUAUAUUUCAGCCCAGCUUGGGCGCCCAGUGCGAAUUUACGACUAUGUAACGCUAAUUGCGAUAAAUAGGAUUUUUCCACCUGCAUGUACACGAAAAUAACUGGGCUGGAUUUCCUGGGCCAAUACUGUGGGCGGCCCAUGUACGAGAUCUGGCGUUUUUCUUUUCUAAUAGACAAACGGACAAAAAAAUUGUACCACCUCGAAUAGAAAAAAAAUCUUUUCGUUGGUGAACGGAUGAAAAAAUCAAAGAAACACACCUUGCUUUAUUAGUAGGUAUAGAGGUAUAGAUAUAGAUAUAGAUAUAGAUAUAGAUAUAGAUAGUAUUGAUAGAAAAAUGAAAUUUUCCAUCCAUGCUAAUCUUAACAUAAAUUGUUUAAGAAUUCGUUGGUACACAUAAAAACAUCUAAUGUGAAUAAUCUAUGGUUCUUAUAGUAUUUGCUAGGAUAUCAUGUAUGUUAAAGGAAAGUCAUGCAUGCAUGUGUCCAUUAUUGUGUAUAGAAACAAAGUAUUUAUAAUUCUACCAUUCUUCCGUGGCAAAAACAAGCAUGUAUUCCUUCUUUUAGGUUAACUAAGAAAGGCUACAAUAGAACACUCGACCUUUAUGCCUUUUAGAAACUUCUAGAUCACGAGUGCAUGAUGCACACAAUAACUUUUGCGUUUGUAACUAUGUUUUCUACCAACAUAAAAAAUAUACCCUUAUAUAACCUUCAUAAAGUAGCACAUUCUUAUUUCCACAUAUCUUCUAUAAAUUUGACGUGAUUUUCCAUCACACAGCGAUAUUUUUAUACUUUUGUCACAAAAUUGGACAUAAACAAUCAAUCACAAAAUAGUCAAAGAAUUGUAACUUCAUUGGAUCCAAUGUGCAUGUGUAAUAAUAAUAACCUAUAUCCAAAUGAUUGUUUGAUAUUUAUAAUUUGUCAAAAAUAUGUUAUAUCUGAUAUUACAAUUGCUAGCCCGUGCAGGUGCACGGAUUGACGACUAGUGAUAUGUAGAUAGAAUUAAUUAUGAUUACCACUCAAUAAUUUUUCUUUAUGGAUAUCCAAAUUUAUGUUUAGAAUCAACAUUUCUACUUCAAUUUUUUCCGGGGAUUUUUUUACUUAGUAAACAUAUGGAUAUUUAGAAAUUUUUUGUGCUAAUUGUGUGCUCUCCUUAGCCUAUGUUACAAUGCAUGGUUUUCUCGGUUAUUUUAGAAAAUGCAUGUACUUCUCUAUCGCCAACUUCUCACAGAUGGAGUUAAGUUUCGUAAAAGUUUAGAAUGGCAGCCAACAUGAAAAAAGAUAAAAGUAUCAUCAUUUGCACAUUUUUUUUCACCUUCUUCACUAUCUAUAUUUAUGGAUAUUCACUUUGCGAUUUAUAUUUUCCCAAUUCGCUACAAAAGCGCAGAACAAACAUUUUAGAAAAUAAAUGCAAAAUGUGUAAAAUAAAAUGUGUAGGUACAUAAUUAAAAAUCUUGGACGACGAUAACUGCCACACGUGUGGCAUCUAGGGGCUAUGUGCCGCACGCCCCGUGUGGCAUCGACACAGGCCCGCCCGCACGAGCACGUCCGCGUGCACCCCACCACAGCCCGCACGUUCGGUGUGCGGCGCAAUCGCCCGCACUAGCACGUCCGGGCGAGCGACCUCACGGCCCGCACGACCCGUCUCGGCCCUCGCCCCUCCCCGCCUGCGAGCCACACGCCCCGCGUGGCAGUAACCACGCGUCCCGCCGCGAUUGCCAUGGUCUGAACCCUCUUCCAUGUUCGUUUAACUGUAGUUGCCAUGUUGCUGAACUGCAGUUGCCAUGUCUGACAACUACAGUUGCCAUGGUUGCUCAACUGCAGUUGCCAUCUCAGGUCAAGUGUCGGAUGCCAUUUUUGGGCAACUGUAGCUGUUGCCAUGUAUGGUCUGGUCUACUACAGUUGCCAUGAUUUGAAAACUUUAGGAUUUACAACCUACUAACACUAGACAGUUGCCAUGUAGCACUACAAAAGCAUGGCAAAAAACAUGUUCAGGUAAAAGAGAGAGUUGCCAUCUGCUUACAAGCACACUAGGGCAGUUGCCAUGUACCCUGCAAAAACACAUGGCAACUGAUAGCUUUUGGUGUGUGGGAGAGGAGACGGGCAUGUGGGCGACGAUGGUAUCUUUAGGAGUUGCCACCUACUAACACUAGACAGUUGCCAUGUAGCGCUACAAAACAGACGUGUCAACAAUAACAUGUUCGGGGUAAAGAGAGUUGCCAUCUGCUUAUAAUCACAAAUAGGGCAGUUGCCACACACUAGCACUGGACAGUUGCCAUUUAGCGCUACAAAAACAGACGUGGCAACAAUAACAUGUUCGGGGUAAAGAGAGUUGCCAUCUGCUUACAAUCACAAAUAGGGCAGUUGCCAUGUACCCUGCAGAAAACAUGACAAAUGACAACUUGGUGUGGGAGAGUGGGAAAAAGGGCAGUCAUGGGAGAUGGGGAACAGAAGUCGUGCGCGGCGUGCGGGCGCGACAGCAGUUCCACCGCACGCCCCGACUCGCAAUCGGUCUCGUCCGAGGGAGAAACAGCGUGCGGGCGAACUACCUACACACCACACACCGGGCUUGUCCUACUUGGCACACCAAAUCCAACUUUUGGUGUCAGGAUUCAUGCAAAAAACAACCAACGACAAUCCAGGCGUGUGGGCGAGUUGAAAACGUUCCACGCGUGUAGGCGUUAGUGUUUCCGAAAAUCUUAUAUCUCCGUCUCAAACAAACAAAAGCCUCCUUCCAUAAGAAACAGCUCAUACGUGAAACUCUUCUCGCCUAUUAAAAAAAAGGAAAAGCAUCCCUCCCCGAAAAAAGAGAAAACGUCUUCACUAGCUCCUGUACUUUUUUAGGCAACCACGUCUCCUCUAUAUGGCCAGAUCUUUCAAGGCUUCUUACUAAUCAGACCACUACGUUGUAAAUUUAUAUCCAAUAAAGAAAACCUGCCGAAUCAUAGAUGGUCUCGUCCAAAAAAAUGUCAUGUGAUACGUCCAACGUUGUCAAAAAAACAUCCUCCAUUCCUUAAAGAGAAAAGAUAGCGUCCUUAGAAAAGCACUACCAAUAAAAGGAAAAGAAAGACGGAAUCCAAUUGAUGACCGAUGAAACUCCAUAAAUAAAAUCUUCUGUCGAUCGAUUUUAAAAGAAGAAACAUCUGGCUCAGUUCCUCUACAUGGCCGCAUACUCCACUUCCUCUUCAAUCCUGCUCUCCUACAUGUGGCUGGUGGUGGCGAUUUCUCUAACCGAAGGAUAUACCCAACUCGCCAUCACCAUCAAGUGCGCUCUCCCACCAGCAGGGCCAACAACAAACUGCAAAGGAACCUGACGACAGGUGCUGCGAGGUAUGAUGCAAGAUCGACUGCGACCCCAAGCGGCAAUCGAUCUUCCUCAUUGUUAUUGUCACCGCGUCUCCUUCCAUCCACCCCGGGCAUCAAAGUUCACCCUAUUUUAUGAUAAUAAAAAAGUCCAACUACCAAGUACAAGCUCUAAUAAGUUCUUCUUGGAUUCAUGCUCCGACAAGACUAUGAUCCAACUAUGAUAAUAAUGGAUUAAGGCGCAGAUUGCUAACACUUAUCUGCAUAUAUAGUACGUAUGCAUGUCUUUAUUUUGAUCUUAGAAAAAAGAGAAAAUUAGCUAUUAAAGCAUCUUUAAAUACAUACAAAUUACCGAAGUAACAAGAAAAUAUGGAUGUACCAUGCGCCACGAAGAUCUAAUAGACACACAAUUAUCUAUGUGGUAUAGGUAUGUAUACAGUAUGGAUAGAAAAUAUAAAAAAAUGACAUCCGUAUUAAAAAUAUAAGAAAUUCUUUAAGAAUUUGUUUGUUGAGACUAGAACUUAAAACCGGAAUAAUCUAUGGUGCUUAUAGUAAUGAGAAUAUACUACAAACUUUUGUUUGCCAUCACACAAUGACAAUAUUAAUGAGGUUGUCACACAAUUGGAGGCAAACAAUCAAAUAACAAAAUAGUCCGAAGCAAUGUAACACUGUUGAACCUUAUGUCUAACAAAGAUAAACAUGCAUGUGUGACAACAAUAACCCAUAUCAACAUAUUAUUAUUGGCUGACAUUUCUAAUUUGUAACAACUUUGUUGUAUGCAAUAUUAAAAGUGCUAGCCCGUGCAUGUGCACGGGUUGAUGACUAGUAUAAUAUAACUCUGAGACAUGCCUAUAUAACCUCUUAUUUGCAUACGUUCUUUUAAAACAUAGCAUAGACAAACCACAUUACAUUAUAAUAAUGAAUUUGUUUUUUCUCGGUGACAGGGUAACUGUUAUUUCUAUGUCGACCAGUUGUACCUUGAAAGAAAGUGUUAUAAAACAAUUAUGUUACUCCCUCCUCCAUCACUGUUUUCAUUGACCAGAGCCCCCACUCCACACAUAUCGACAAGCUCGGAGUCCCGCUCAUCGAUAUGAUCGUAUGCCAUAUCCACACAACUGGCGAGCUCAUUGGAGCGUAGCCCGUCCUCGUCGCCUUGGUAAUCCCUGAUCGUGGCAUCACAUAUGUUGAGGAUGCUCACCAGUCAUAAUCCGCCUCACAAAAACUAAGGACACGCAUUGGCACCGUGCCCUUCUUGCUUCAUGUGUCUGUUGUCUUGGCGCACCCAUUUCGUCCACCGCCAUCCGUUUGUGUCGGCGCGGACAGAAAAGUCGGCCCAACGCGCCGACACAAAUGGACGCGCGUCCGAUUUCGUCCGCCUGCCUAUCCAUUUCCGGCCCAUUUUUUAGCCGGAUUUGCGUCGGCGGAGACAAAAGACGGACGCACGCGCUCACCCUCUCUCCUUUCCGGGCGCGCUGGUCGGUGGCACAUUGGCCUCUCCACAUCAAACAACACACCCUCGCCCGCCUGCUUCAUCGCUGACGCCGCCGGUCAUUUUUUCCGAUAGAAAAAUGAUACAUAGAUAGUUUUAGCAUACACAGAUAAAAAAAAGAUCAACUACUCGUCGCUUUCCGACUUCGACUCGGUAAUGUCCUCCUAUGACGUCUAAAUGUAGGCGUCAGCAUGCUGAUCAUCUUCAAAGUCUCACCCCGGCGUUUCUCGUAGCUUCAGUUUCAAUUGAGCGGCCUGCUUGCGCGCACGCUUGUCCUCCCGAUAGGCGGCUCGCUCCGUCCUCCUCACCUCCUUCUCCGUCCUCCUUUGCGUGUAGAACUGGCGCUCAUUGACGAUGUCCUGCAGAAAGCGUUCGCGCCACACCACCAUGGCUUCCAUGUCCAUCUCGGUGAUGGCGAGGCGACGCUGCCGCCUCCGGUGGACACGACGAUCCUCGUCGGUGAAAUGCCGCGGGAGAGGCGCGAGAUCCUGCGCCGCUGGCUCGACACGUCAGGAAAAUUCAUAUCCCAACGAGGCCUCAGGAGGCACGACGCCGCCGCGUCGUGCGCGCGGGCCGACUCCUCUGCGGUGUUGAAGGUGCCGAGGAUGAGGCGUUUCUCGCCAAACCUGAUCUCUGAGGAGAAGGCACCAGAGCGGCGCUCGCGGACUCCGCGAAAAUUUGAAGCGCCCAGGCGGCGCAUCGACAUGGUGGCGCAGAGGCGGCGAGGCUAGUGAUAGGGGGCGACACAAGUGGGCGGCGGACAGAGUGUGGAGGGAGCGCCUUCUUAUAACGAGCGCCGGCCGCGGCGCGCGCGCGAACCUUUCCCGCGCGCUGGAGCACCGAAACCAGCACGCGCUAGGCCACUUUUCCCCCACGCGUGUGAACCUUUCCCGCGCGCUGGAGCGCCAAAACCAGGGAGACGGCAUGGCAGCUGGCAUGAUCGAAAGCGCGUGCGAUCAUGAAGUGGGUCGGACCGUUGGACGCACUGCCGACCCAAAUCUAAAAGAGGGCGGACGGCGGGCGGGCGGCAGACCCAAACGUACAAAAAGCGGACAACAACGCCGUCCAUCUGGGUCGGCCCGUUGAAGUUGCUCUUAGGGGUGAACCUCUGUCUCCCGUAGGGCCCCAUGUGUUUGACAACACAUGGGGUGGCCUGUUCAGCACGCCAGUGUGAAAAAUCAUGACACAGGCAUGAGGUAAUAGUUAGUGGUCUACUCCCUACGCCUGGGAGUUAUCACAUCAUAGGAGUAGGUAGCUCCAGUAGAUAAGUUUCCCUAUAUUGGAUAAAGAUCAAUGGAACGCCUCGUAGGUGUGAGUAGCGAGUUGCCAAAUAUAUAUGUUAUACGGAAUUAAAUUAUAGGAAUCCUGCUAGCUGAGCAGCUGUGAUUUUCCUUUUGAAAAGUAAGGAAAUGGAAUAGGGAGAAGAUUUUGCAUUUUAGAAUAAAGAAUCUGCUCAAGAUGCUCUAUAAUAUUUCCUGACUUGGGCACAUCAUUGUUUUCUUUUAUUUGAGACGCAGAUUGGAGCACAGCAUUUGCUGGUAAUUAAGCAAAUGCAUGAUGCAUGCCAACAUGACACUUGGGAAAAUAACAAGACUACACUUCCUACAGUAAUACAGAUUCACGCGUAAGGUCAAGUCUAAAAAGAUGUAUCGGGAUCAGCUUCCAUUUCAUAUACUCCAUGGUGGAAUAUGAUGUCACGCUUGUUAUCAAGGUUUUGGAUCGGGAGUGAACAGUGGACUAGACAAACCAGUGUGCCAGGGUGGUCCAAUAGUAGAAAUCUUUACAUAAAUUUAUUUAUUUUCAAAGAAAUAAUUUUUCUACUACACUAUAUACAUGCUGUGGGGAAAAUUCAGGGUGGUCCAUGUCCACCCCCUAGCUAAGCCACUACGAGCGGACCUUUUCUCUAAAGGGGCACCAAAAUUCGAGGUUACUAAGGUAACCACGAAAUACAAAAAAAUCAGACGAAAUUAGAAAUCAUUUUAAGUUGAUAUAGAUAGUUAUUUAUCUUUACCUAAUAAUAAAGUAUAAAGUGCGUCUACCCGUUCACCAUCAUCCAAAUUACCCUCGAAGUUGGCGAGAAUUACCCACUAAUGCCACCUGUAAGUGGCAAAAAUAAUUCGCUUUUUUCCAUGCUGGUUCAAUAUGAAGCUAUCUUCUUAUGUGACACAAGUACAUGCGCAUCCCACCGGCUAGAGGUUCGAUCCCAUGUUCUCCCCAUUCUAUCUCCCUUUUCUCUCUUGUUGUUAGAGGGUUGAUUGCGCCAGCCCAGCACGGCCUUCAACUCUCUUUCUUUCCUUUCUUACAGACAGUUUUUCUUUCUUUCGGCUUUAUUUCGAAAUACUUUAAAUAUUUCUAUGCAUUAAAGAAAUGUUAAACUUCUCUACAAAAAAUAUUUCCACUAUAUAUAAACAAAUGGGUAGUGUGUAUGGAAAGCAAAAUUAGGAAAAUAAUAACGUAAGUUUCUGUUUUUUUGAAAAAAAUUAAGCAUGCAUUUAAAUAAAUUUAAAUGUGUACAAAAAUUGUUUAUGAUGUAUACAAAAAUAUACAAUAUGUUUAGAACAAAGUAGACAUAAAAAAGUAUAUGUCUUCAAAAAUAUUAAUCAUGUAUUUGGACGAUGUUAACCAUGUACAUAAAAAUGAUCAUGAUGUACACAAGAAAUAUAGAAUGCGUAUAGGAAAAUUGGAAAUCAAAAAACUUAUGGUUAAAAAAAGUUGAAAACUAAAUUGGAAAAAUGUUAUACUUGUAUAUCUAAAUGUUUGUCAUGUAUACAAAAAAAAUACUGUGUUCAUGGAGAAUAUAGAGAUAAACAAAAUAUUUUACCAAAUGUUAAUUAAUUAUUUAAAAAUGUAAUAAUUUAUUUUUAAAUUUCUAAAUGUGAUAUAAAAUGUUUCUGGUAUAUAAAAAAAAUUUAUAGUGUAUAUGAGCAAACGUAGACAUAAAAAAUAUAAGUUCUCAAAAAUAUUAAUUAUAUAUUUAGAAAAUGUUAAACAUGUAUAUAAAAAUUAUUCUUGGCGUAUAAAAAAUGUAGAAAGAAAACGAACAAAAACUAUAAAAUUGAAAAAGAAACAAAAAAAGCAAAGAAAGCAAAAAAAUAGCAAAACCCGUAAAACCAAAAGAAUAUACCAAAAAAUAAGAAAGAAAAAACAAGAAUGAUAAAAACGUGCUAUCAUUAAUUACUAACAUGUACUUUGUUAUCUUCAUCACACUACAAAUAUUUGUUGGGCAUCAUCAAGGACGAACGACAACAAAUGCGUAAUGAGAUACCUCCAACUAGGUAGAUAUUUUUGUUGUCUAAUAAGUUAAAAACAUCUUGAGUACACUUCAAAAAUCAUCCCAUUUUUAUAUUUUUACACAACACCACUUAUCAUGUUAUUUGUCAUGUGACAUCGUGAAAGAUUUCAAGGGAUUUACUAAUGUCUUGAGAGUGUGUAUGAGGGGUGACUUUUUCUCCCCCGUUGAAAGAACACAAAGCCUGCCCUUCUUCGGAAAACACACACACACACACAUACACACACAAAGCAAGCCCUACCGUAUUGGCUGUUCACCCUUAGCUGCCGCUUGGUCAAACGUCGCGAGUUUGACGUUCUUACCUUUUGCAUCCUCUAAAAGAAGUAAAAAUGAAAGCGAUGAGACUCGAACCCGAGACUUGCUGCUGCGGAAAGCUUGGCUUUGCCACCUAGGCCAUGACCUGUCAUGAUGUUCAAUAAGAGAUGCCACGUAUUUAACUAUGAGGUGGGCGUUUGAAUUCAAAAGUUUCAAAANNNNNNNNNNNNNNNNNNNNNNNNNNNNNNNNNNNNNNNNNNNNNNNNNNNNNNNNNNNNNNNNNNNNNNNNNNNNNNNNNNNNNNNNNNNNNNNNNNNNNNNNNNNNNNNNNNNNNNNNNNNNNNNNNNNNNNNNNNNNNNNNNNNNNNNNNNNNNNAAGAACAUUAUUAUUAUUAUUUCAAAUGGAAGUAAUGUUGGUUUUACAUGAACAUUGUUUCUGGCAGAAAAUCUUAUAUUUACUAAUUGGAGGCACCUUUCAUGAUCUCUCAUUAAUCCACAUCAUCAAAAUUAAUUAAACUGUUGGAUUGUAAAAUUUAUGACCAGGAUUAAAAAAACAACUUGUGUAACGCAGAUGAUGCUGUCCUAUAAAAAGUGCACCUGACACGUACAACUUUUGUUAAACAAACAAAGAAAAGACUCACAUAAAAAAACGGAAGCCACAAGUAAAAAAGGGAAAGGCCCCACCAGUUCCCACAAAUUAAGUAGAAAAACAGCCUCAUGCAAGAAAAAGAGGAAAGUCCCUACCGUAUCCCACAAAUUAAGAAGCAAAAUUUUCCAUAAAAAAACCUAAUGAUAAGAUGCCAAAACAAAAUCCCAACGUUAAAGGAAAAAAAUCGACUAUCGGGCAGAUUGCCCGUGAAAUAAAAGAAAGCAAACUCGCGUAACAAAACUUAAACCUCCACCCAUCUGAACAAAUAAAAACACUAUGUACCAAACAGAUCAAGCCAAAAUGUACAAAAAAAAUAGAAGUCACGUAAAGAAAAAGGGAAAGUCCUUAGCAUCCGCGUUACUUCUCAUAAAAAAAUAGGGUUCUCACCACGUACAUAUAAUUGAAGAUUAAGCACACGCCUUCCAAAAAAAAUAGUCCUUAGCAUACACGUUACUUCCCAGAAGAAAAACAAGCUACAAAAACAGUUUUCACCACAUACAUGAAAUAAAAUCUUACAAAGAAACAUACGGCUUGAUCUUUGGUGUGGGACAUGACAAAAAAAGACACAACCUCAAAAAAUGACUUCGCAUUACGUAUGUGAAAUAAAACCUUGCAGAAAAAAAUACAUACAUGAAAUAAAAGAUUAAACAUACAUGACCAAAUAAAAACAAGGAAAGCCUCACGUCAAUCGAAAAAGCAAAGGAAAAACUCCACCCGCUGCACAAAUUAAGAAGGAAUGUCUCUGUUAAAAACUCCAAGAUAAAAUGUAAAAAAAGUCCAAUGAUAAAAAUGGAAAAAUUCCGCGAUCCAGCUGAUUGACCGUGAAAUAAAAACUAGACCCAAUGGCUCCAUCAAUAAAAUAUUCUCCCGACAAAAAUCUGUGUGGACUCAUCUGUACGGCCGAUGCCUCCUCCUCUGCUUCAAUCCUGCUGUCCUACCAAUGGCCGCCGAUCACGAUUAUUUGUCACUGAAUGUGCUUUCCCACCUGCAUGGCCAUCGGUGAACCACAAAGUGUCACAAGGGCGGCCUAAUUUAUUUUUCUAUAUGCUACAACAAAAAUACCUCUCAUGUUUAGUUGGACAGUAUAUUUUUUAAAGGGAUAUUGAAGCUGAAGUUUGUCAACCACGGAUGUGGAGCUGGUCGAGACUGGUGGCUAGAUGACAAAGGCUCCGCUCGGCAAGGAAAGAUUUGCAUUGAGCUAAGACUCAUGACUAAUUGAUAUAAUCUAAGAGAUGAUGAACCAAGAAAAUUAUAUUAGAAAUAAGUUGGAUGUUAUUUGCAUUAUUCUAUUUUGAGGAGUAAAAUUAUUUUUUUGGGAAUUAGACAAUCAAACUAUUGUUAUGAUUUCUUGAACUGGCCACAUAGGCCACAUAAAUUAUGAAAUUACUUUUCAUUGACGGAAUUUCGUUUGUGAAGAUAGCAUAGGGGCAACCGAUCAAUGUCCCCGGUAAUGAGUACUCAAUCACAUCAUGUUUGGUAGUACUACUGUAUGGGUGUUCUACAUAAAAGCAAAUGUAAGUAGACAACAUUAUAAUUAUUAAUUUUGUCCAUUAUAUUGCAAAGUAAAGGAUAUCCGUGUGGUCAAAAAAAAUUAGAUCAAUAUUGCACCACUAUAUGUCUUUUUGUCAAAUUUAAAUCCUGUUCAAGUUUAUACUGCUUUUCUUACUACUCCUAAUAAAUGAUCAGAACAAGGAAGCUUGCAGUUCUGUAGGGGAAGACCGAUCCUUGACGAGCAUUUCUAGCGUGACACAGAUAAAUAACAUUGGAUGGAGCGGCUCGACGACCUCCUCAUGUACGCUGCCGGACGCUGGCUGCAUCCGAUGACGCCGGGAGCAAGGUAGUGGUGUCGUGUAAGUUCAUUUUAGAUGCUAAGGACUAUUAUGCACAACUUAGUACUAUUCUCUUGAAAGAUAAACUACUUUGUCUGACAUGCAUACUUGCGAUUAUGUAGACUUAACAUGUUUUUACACAGGUGCAGAUUACGAACGCUAAUUAUUUGCACAUAUAGUACGGUUGCACAUCUCUUUUUUUUGUCCUGAUAAGUUAUAAAAAAUAUAACUAUUAAAGUAUCUUUAAUACACAUAAAUUUUUUUAGUAAAAAAUAAUGUGGAUGUUUCCUGCACGACAAAGAUCUCAUAUAAACAAAUGAUUAUGUAUGUGAUAUACAUAUGUGUAGCAAGGAUAGAAAGUACAAUAAACUUUCAAGCACAUUAAUCUGAAAAGAAAUCCUCUUAUGAUUUUCUUUGCACAAAUAUGAUAGUGAAAUACGAUUAAUCUAUCACACAACUCCAAUUCAAUCGUGAAAGAUUUUCUUUAAGAAUUUAUUGGUUAAUACAAGAAUAUAAAAUACAAAUAACCUAUGGUGCUUAGCGUAAUCAAGAAUUGCAGAAAUCAAACUUUUAUAUAUUAUUUGCUACAGUGUUACAUACUACUUCUCCAAAUAAUUCUUUUUAGUCUGCAUAUAAGAUUUGCCUGAAGUCAAACUUCAUAAAGUUUGAGCAUAUUUAUAUUGAAAAAUAUUAACAUGUACAAUACUAAAGUCACAGAGUAUAAAAAUUAAGAUUCAUGCCGCAUUUAAUGAUAUUGAUUACACAUUGAGAAUAUUGAUAUUUUUUCUGUAAGUUGGUCAAACUUUACGUUGUUUUACUUCAAAUAAAUCUUCUAUACAGAGUAAAAUAUCUGGCGGGAGUAUUUAAUAUUAGAAGUGCUAGCCCGUGCUGAUGCACGGGUUGAUGACUAGUAGAUUAUUAACUAUCAAAGUCAUAUGGCCCUAGCAAGACAUUGUUCAGGCCGCCCAGCUUGAUCAACUCCUCGUUAUCGUUGAUAACUGUCUGGCUUUUCAUGGGAAGCUCAUGCCGGCAGUUGCUGACAUGGUCAGUCGCCUUCUCCACACACUCGGGCAGUUCAAAGAACCACGGGCCGUCGGCGUCGCCCAUGGGGACACGGAAGUCCCUGAGCAUGGCGUCGCAGAGGCCGAGGGUACCGAUAGCAGCAUCGUAAUCCACCUGGCAAUACCUGAGGCCGAGCGCCUCCUCCGUACCUUUCUUGGCUUUCUGGAGUGCUUCCUUCACCUUGCCGCCGGCAGCCGCCAUGUGGAUCUUGAGGAUGUCAACGGCGACGAGCGACAGGUCGCGGAGGUCCUUGGACUCAGAGCUCCUUUUGUCGGACCGGAGAGUCUGCACGCAGAAUUCCUGGGUGACGUUCAGGUGCUUGUUGCGGCAGCUGCUCGAAGCGUUCUUGCAGGUUUCUACCACGAGGUCUACCACCUUGACCUUGUCGUUGCGCCGCCGGCAUGUGCGCCGAUGCACACAAAAAGGAGCAUGAUUGCAACCAAGAAGGCAGCGGUCGCCCGUGUGGUUGCCAUUGCUGCAAGGAUAGCUGCAAUUGUAUUGUAGGCUUUGUAGCUGAGAGAGAGGUGAAGAUGAAUUGAUAGUCAGAUUUUGUAGUGCAAAGAUGGAGGUGGUGUACGGUUCUUGUGACAUCUAUAUAGUGCAGCAGCAGGUUCAUAAAUCCAAUGCAGCUUAGUCACGGAUAUCCAAAUAAUUAGUAUUUCAGACACUAUAUGCGCAGAUAUGUGUUGGAAAAAUGAGCAAAUUACUACGAGAUUUAAUCCGAAUAAAUAGGAAAUAGAUCAUGACAGCAAUAGCAGAUAUUAAACUAAUCAUGCGAACUAGCAUACUAGAUGAACAGAUCACAUCUAGGACACAUACUAGAAACAUGAGUUCUACGGUGCAGCACCGCCGGCGUUGACGUUGUCGCCCAUGUCGUCGAGGAUGAGGUUGCCGAGGUCGGGGAAGAAGUCGUCGUUCGCGAAGUCGUCGCUGCCAGCAGUCGCGCGAGUGCGCUCCCCAAAAACCUGAUCGCCCCUCUCCCAUACAGGAUCACGAGAGGCAGGGUUCUAGAGGCCUGCUGUCCCUUCUCCCGGUGCACGCCGAAAGGAGGGAUGGAGAAGACUUGCUUGGCGGCGCAAUGAUCUGGAACGGUGGUCAGAAACCAUACGAAGCGGCGGCGGCUAGGAUAGACGUCUGCCUGACUAUAUAGUGCGGGCCGGGUAGGUCCUGGGAGUAAACCCCACGUCCGAGUCAUCACGAUCCAAAAGAAUCGGAAAUGGUUCAGUAAUUAAUGAGUCCAUUAAUUAUUAAUUAAUGACUCAUUAAUUUUUCCCGAGCAGCAAAAAUAUAGACAGCGUGCAUAGCUCUGUCCUCGGCUUGGCUCAAUCCCGCGGCGCGGCGGGGCGGGGCGAGGCGAGCGAGGAGGAGGAGCGCGCGUGUAGGUCUCCUCUUCUCAUGCUCAUACAAGUGGUAGAAAAGCUCACCUUAUAAAGAGGUGCAACUCUCUCUCAACUUUCGGGGUGGGACUAAACUUUAGUCUCACCCACUCCACUCACAUGUGUGCAUGAAUGGGCCAAGAGAAUUUCAGAAUUUUAGUUGGGCUUUGGGCCAAGGCCUACUAGCAAAAUUCCAACAAUCCCCCACAAAGUCUCAUUGGCACAUCUCAUCAUUUAGUUCCAAAACAUUGUUUAUAUACCGGUGCUUAGUGGAGACUGUGAAGUUGAACUUCCACUUAAAGAUUUAUGCUACACUAGAUCACAACUUGAAUAGUGGACUAUGCCUUGAACUACAAGUUUUCUGCGAAACUAGUUUCACACAAAUUCUUGACCGAUACUGGGCUGCCGCAAGGCUUCCCCGCGGGUGGAGCGUAUACGCCAUACUCCAGGGCAUUUUCAUGAAUUUAUUAGAGAACACCCAAUUCUCACAGACUGCGACGUUAACAGUCAAAUUCAUAUAGGUGUGUUCCUCAGAAGAUGUUCUGCAGGACAACAUCUCUGCUUACCCGAAUAAGCCACUUGGAACACAUUAAGAUAAGUAUCAACCUGCCAUGCAGAUCAGGAGAGUAUUGCAUCUUCACGGAGUGGGAUAGUUAAUAUAGGGAUACUCUCCUCCCAGCUGACCAACAGCUUGUCUCCCACUUCUACUUCACGGGAUCUCCGAUCACAUAGAGUGGGUUACCACUAUGGACAACUCAUGCGGUGGGUCUCAAACCCAUCUCCAUCGAUGCAUUAUCUAUCACAUUAUGUGAUAGACCCUUUGUGAAGGGAUCUGCCAUGUUUUUCGAUGUUUGGAUAUAAUCCAACGUAAUAACUCCGGAGUUCCUCAAUUUUCUGACAGAUUUUAGUCUCCUCUUCACAUGUCUUGAGGACUUCAUAUUGUCCUUCGAACUGUUUAUCUUGACAAUCACAGUUUGAUUAUCACAGUUCAUCAGGAUAGGGGGUAUUGGUUUUUCAACCAUAGGUAAGUCCAUCAAGAGUUCACGAAGCCACUCUGCUUCAACAGUGGCAGUGUCUAAUGCUGUGAGUUCUGCUUCCAUAGUUGACCUCAUUAAGAUGGUCUGCUUGCAAGACUUCCAGGAAAUAGCGCCACCACCAAGUGUAAAAACAUAACCACUCGUGGGCUUUAUCUCAUCAGAAUCAGAUAUCCAGUUUAAGUCACUAUAACCCUGCAGUACCCUUGGAUACCCGGUGUAGUGAAUCCCAUAGCUCGCGUAGCCUUUCAAAUAGCGAAUAACUCUCUCAAGAGCAUGCCAAUGAUCAUCUCCCGGUUUUGACACAAACCGACUCAGCUUGCUCACAGCAAAAGAGAUGUCAGGCCUCGUGGCACUCGCCAAAUACAUAAGCGAGCCAAUAAUCUAAGAAUACCUCAGUUGAUCUCUAGCAAUCCGUUGAUUCUUUCGAAGCAACACACUAGCAUCAUAUGGAGUUGGAGAAGGUGUGCAGUCGCUAUACCCAAAACGACUCAAGACCUUUUCCACAUAGUGAGACUGAAGCAGUGUGAUCCCACCAUUCUCAUCUCUCAACAGCUUGAUGUUUAAGAUAACAUCAGCUACUCCUAGAUCCUUCAUCUCAAAACAGCGAGAUAAGAAAUCCUUAACCUCCUUGAUUAAAUCAAGUUUGGUUCCAAAGAUCAAUAUGUCGUCGACAUAUAGACAAAGAAUAACUCCUUCACCCCCACCAUAGCAAUAGUACACGCACUUGUCACCAUCAUUUACUACAAAGCCGGCAGCAGUUAAUGUCCUUUCGAACUUCUCAUGCCACUCCUUAGGAGCUUGUUUAAGGCCAUAUAAAGACUUUAAUAACUUGCACACCUUUCCUUCCUGACCAGGUACUACAAAACCAUCUGGCUGAUCCAUGUAAAUUUCCUCCUUCAACUCUCCAUUGAGGAAAGCCGUCUUGACGUCCAUUUGAUGAACGAGAAGACCAUGUGAGGCAGCCAGUGAUAGUAGCACCUGAAUUGUGGUCAGUCUAGCCACAGGUGAGUAAGUAUCAAAGAAGUAUUCACCUUCUUUCUGGGUAUAACCCUUAGCCACAAGCCGUGCCUUGUUCUUUUCAAUCGUACCAUCAGGUCUAAGAUUCUUCUUGAACACCCACUUACAUCCUAAAGGUUUGCACCCAUAAGGACGACCAGUGAUCUCCCAGGUUCCGUCAGCUAAGAUGGAAUCCAUCUCGCUACGUACAGCUUCCUUCCAGUAGUCAGCAUCAGGAGAUGCUUAGGCUUCUCUAAUAGUCCUGGGUGUGUCAUCCACGAGGUACACAAUGAAAUCAUCACCAAAGGACUUUGUAGUCCUCUGUCUCUUACUCCUCACAGGAGUUCCAUUGUCACCCUCAACAGGAUUCUCAACGUGUUCCAUCGCAAUGGUGGGUUCAGGAAUUACAGUGAAUUCCUCACUAGAUGGAGUAGGUAUCUCCUGAUUUGAUGAACUCGACAUGUCCUUCAUAGGAAAUAUGUCCUCAAAGAAAGUUGCAUCAUUCGACUCCAUAAUCGUACCAACAUGCAUGUUGGAUACCUCAAAUUUUAUUAUCAAAAAUCUAUAGCCGAUGCUAUGAAAAGCAUAGCCCAGAAGAACACAAUCCACGGUUUUUGGUCCAAGCUUGCGCUUCUUGGGAAUUGGUAUAUUGACUUUCUCCAAACAACCCCAAGUACGUAGGUAAGAGAGUUUCAACCUUUUCCUUUCCCAUUCCUCAAAUGGAGUCAUGGUCUUAUGCUUUGUGGGAACUCGGUUUACGAUAUGACAUGCAGUCAUUAGCGCCUCCCCCCACCAUUCCUUGGAUAGACCCGAAGUGUCUAACAUGGUGUUAACCAUAUCAGUUAGAGUUCGGUUCUUUCUUUUGGCUACCCCAUUUGACUGGGGUGAGUAGGGAGGCGUCCUCUCAUGGAUUAUACCAUGUUCCGCACAAAACAGAUCAAAUUCAUUGGAAAAAUACUCUCCACCACGAUCAGACCUAAGCCGUUUAAUUUUUCGAUCAAGUUGGUUCUCUGCCUCAGCUUUAUAGUUUUUGAAGAAAGUAAAAGCCUCAUAUUUUGAUUUCAGAAGAUACACAUAACAAUAUCUAGUGGAGUCAUCAAUCAACAUCAUGAAGUAUCUUUUUCCACCUUUUGUCAACACGACAUUCAUCUCACAAAGAUCAGAAUGUAUAAGCUCUAGUGGUGCCAAGUCUCUUGCCUCUGUAGUCUUAUGGGACUUGCGAGGUUGCUUAGCUUGCACACAUACUUGGCACUUAGAGCCUUUGACAGUAGAGAUUUUCAGAAUUAAAUUCAUAUUGGCUAGCCAUGUCAUGCAACCAAAGUUAAUGUGACAAAGUCGUGAAUGCCAAAUAUCUGACUCAUUGUUGUGGCAAACAUUAUUAAUAACUUUAGUGCAAAUAUCUGACAAAGACAGGCGGAACAAGCCUCCGCUCUCAUAGCCUUUUCCAACAAAUUGUCCAUACUUAGAAAUUACAACAUUAUUGGAUUCGAAAACCAACUUAAAACCAUCUCAACAUCAAUGGGAACCGCUAACGAGAUUUUUAUUGAUGGACGGCACAUGAUGAACGUUCUUCAGACGCACGGUCUUCCCCGAAGUAAACUUCAGAUCGACCGUACCAACACCUCGAACGAUGGCAUGUGACCCGUUCCCCAUCAGCAUGGGAGAAGUCCCAGUGGCCUGGUAAGAAGAAAACUUGGAGGCGUCAGCACAAACAUGUACAUUGGCACCGGUGUCAAUUAACCAAUCAGGGGAUUGAAAUACUGAAAGGAUGGUAGGAAAAAUACCGUAUCCUGAUUCCUUCAUAUCAGUAUCACCGAUAACAACAUUAGCGGACUUGCCGCUCUUGUCAUGUUCGCGCUCCUCAAAACGGUUAGGACACUUCGGAGCCCAGUGAUUAGGAUCACCGCAAACAUGGCAAAGUCCCUUCCCCUUCUUAUGAGAAUUCUUCUUGAAGUUGGUAGAAUGUGAUGGCUUGUUCUUUGUAUCAAACUUACCUUUGCCCUGAGUUUUGUUCUUGUUGUUUUUGAACUUUUUGGGAUGGAAGUUCUUCUUCUGUACCAUUUGGGCACUAGAACCUCCCUCAGCAACUCGAGCACGUGUGUCCUUUGCUCUCGCCUUCUCUUCAACAUCAAGAGUACCAAUGAGAUCCGCAACGGAAAACUCCUGUCUCUUGUGUUUCAGGGAAGUAGAAAAAUUAUUCCACGAAGGUGGAAGCUUGGCAAUGAUGCCUCCGGCAACACACACUUGAAGUAAUCAAGUUCUUUUGCGAGUGACUGUAUCUCAUUAGCCUGCUGUACAACAAGGCGCUCAUCAGUCAUCUUGUAGUCAUAGAAUUGCUCCAUGACGUACAACUCGCCGCCGGCGUCCGAGGCACCAAACUUGGCCUCGAGCGCAGCCCACAUGUCCUUGCCAUUGUAAAAUGAGAUAUACGAAUCGAUCUUCUCAAAAGCUUCCAGCUGUGCUGGAUUAAGAUCGCCCUCAGGCUUGCCCUUGGUGGCGUCAUAGCAGCCCAUGGUCUGAAACAAGUAGACUGCUAUCGUGCGCCACCUCUUAUAUUGCGCCCCUUUAAUGGCAGGCAGCUUCAAAUGCGCAGCAAAAUACGAGAUUUAAUCCGAAUAAAUAGGAAAUAGAUCAUGACAUCAAUAGCAGAGAUUAAACUAACCCCGGGUAGGUCAUGGGACAACGUGCAUAGCUCUGUCCUCGGCUCAAUCCUGCAACCCGCGGCGCGGCACUCGUGUAGGUCUCCUCUUCUCAUGGUCAUACAAGUGGUAGAAUAGCUCACCUUAUAAAGAGGUGCAACUCUCUCUCAACUUCCGGGGUGGGACUAAACUUUAGUCUCACUCACUCCACUCACAUGUGUGCAUGAAUGGGCCAAGAGAAUUUCAGAAUUUUAGUUGGGCUUUGGGCCAAAGGCCUACUAGCAAAAUUCCAACAAUAUGUAGAUCCACAUUUUGGGUGUGCUAGUAUUAAUACGUGUGGCAUGAGUGUGUUCUUGUUUUAUGUAUUUCUAGAGUGAAUCUCACGUUAUUUCCCCAUAUCAUAAAAUGGAUUUGGGACAUUAAAGGAAGAUUAUGCGCAUUUUGCACUUGAUAAUCUAUCUAUCUUCUACGUUUAUAUAUCUAUCUAUAUCUAUCUCUAUAUUCAUCCCUAUAUCUAUACCUAUCUAUAUGUAUACUAUAUAUGUAUAUUUAUAUCUACACCUAUCUAUCUAUCUAUCUAUCUAUCUUUAUAUCUAUAUCUCUAUCUAUCUAUACCUAUACUUCUACUCCCUCCGUCCCAAAAUAAGUAUCUCAAGCUUAGUACAAGUUCGUACUAAAGUUAAUACAAAGUUGAGACACUUAUUUUGAGACGGAGAAAGUACUAAUUAGGCACUCCCUAGAAAUUACCAUGUUAAUCGGUAAAAUUCAAGAUAAUUGGAAACCCAUGCCCCUUCGUAAAUACAUGUAAUUGCUUACACCAUUUAGGAUAUGCUUGCAUGAUGGAUAUAUACGAUACACAUGCAUCAUUAUUAACCCGGAACACCUUUAAGAUUACAUUAAAAAUGGCAUCCAGGAGACACUAUAUUAAAUAAUACUGCCCAUGAUUAAAUAGGAGGAAAUCCAAUUCUCCAUCGAGGUAUAUGUGCAAAGAGUUAAACAUUGAUCAUUUGGAUAUUCAUGGGGCAUAUUGCAUUUGGAAACCCCUACUCAGUGCACUAUAUAGUAUAUAUAAGCCAUAAUCAUAGCUACGUACUCCACCUCAACCCAUCCAUCUCUGCACUGCAGUUCCAUUUGAUCCAUUCAUCGUCUCCCUCAGCUACAAUAUAAUUUUCUAGCAAGCCUGGCAGCAAUGGAAAUGGUGCAAACCACCUCCUUAGCAUUCACUGGAAUUGUCAUCAUUCUCCUUUCCAUGGCCAUCACCAUUCAAGCUUCCGACACCAAGCCCAUGCCGUCAGGCAUCACGUUGGAAGCAUGCAAGAAUGUCUCGAGUGACUUCUUCAAGGUGCGCUCCACAUAUGACUUUUGUGUAUCAACGCUCCAGUCAGACAAACGAAGCAUCAACGCGAAGGACUGCCGCAUCCUAGCUCUUGUGGACGUCGACGCCAUGAAGCCCCAAGCCACGGCCGUGAUGGCCAAGGUUGAGAACUUGAUCCAUGGUGCCACCAAGGACAAGCUCGCGACUCGCGCCCUUGGGUUCUGCCAAGUGGACUACGGUGGCAUGGUGAGCACCCUCGAAAUCUGCCAUGAUAUCAUCCAGAACUUUGAGGUUCGUAAAGGCAAUGAAGGUCCGACGCCCUACGACCUGCCUGAUUGCAUUGCGAAAACAACCAAAGCCAUCAACGAUUGCUCUGACAAAACAAAGUUUACGUCGGUUACAAAAGGGCUAACAAAGGAAUAUGAGGAGUUAUCUAUGAUGAUCAGCCUCAGCAGCUCUUUGCCACAUCUCUACAUCACAUCACCCUGAUUUUUCUGGAAAAAUAUGAUUUUAUAGCGUCGGUUUUAGGGUCUGCGAGGCCACCAGGUGGGGACAACCCACCUAGGCGCGCUUGGAGGGGGCACGCCAUGGUGGGUUGUGCCCACCCAGGUGCCCCCCUUCCGGUGGUUCAUGGCUCCAGAAAUUCUCUUUAUUGAUAUGAAAAAUCCUUGCAAAGUUUCGUUCCAUUCUUAAAACUUUUAUUUCUGCACAAAAACAACACCAUGGUAGUUCUGCUGAAAACAGCAUCAGUCCGGGGUUAGUUUCAUUCAAGUCAUGCAAAUUAGAGUCCAAAACAAGAGGAAAAGCAUUGGGAAAAGUAGAUGUGUUGGAGACCUAACGGUGGCGGCGGGAAACAAAUGAGGAAAGGGUGGCGUGUUCAUAAAACGCCACCAAUCAAUGGAAACUUAGCAUAGAAGGAACAUUGAGCUAGCACAACGUGUGUGUGCACAUUGCUCACCCAAGGCUAUGAUCCAUAUACUUGUGUGCCCAACAGAGCACACUAUUCAUAGUAAAGAAUAUUGUUAUGUUUAUCCUAGUAGAGCAGUGGCAGCAAGCGACACAAGAAGAAGUAGAUGAUGAUCAGAUGAUGGUUUAUCCUAAUUAAUUAUGCAUGUAAUAGUUUACUUUGGCGUGUGGAAAUGUCAUGUGUACUAGGAAACUAUGUAAUUGGAUGUUUAAUUUGACUGUGGAAUCAUGUCCUUAUAUCAUGAUAAAUCUUUAUUAUUCAUGCUAGAAUUGUAUUAACUGAAAACAUAAUACAUGUGUGAAUACAUAGACAAACAAAGUGUCACUAGUAUGCCUCUACUUGACUAGCUGGUUGAUCAAAGAUGGUUAUGUUUCCUAGCCAUAGACAUGAGUUGUCAUUUGAUUAACGGGAUCACAUCAUUAGGAGAAUGAUGUGAUUGACAUGACCCAUUCCGUUAGCUUAGCACCGGAUCAUUUAGUAUGUUGCUAUUGCUUUCUUCAUGACUUAUAAUGUUCCUAUGACUAUGAGAUUAUGCAACUCCUCUUUACCGGAGUAACACUUUGUGUGCUACCAAACGUCACAACGUAACUGGGUGAUUAUAAAGGAGCUCUACAGGUGUCUCCAAAGGUACAUGUUGGGUUGACGUAUUUCGAGAUUAGGAUUUGUCACUCCGAUUGUCGGAGAGGUAUCUCUGGGCCCUCUCGGUAAUGCACAUCACUUAAGCCUUGCAAGCAUUGCAACUAAUGAGUUAGUUGCGGGAUGAUGUAUUAUGGGACGAGUAAAGAGACUUGCCGGUAACGAGAUUGAACUAGGUAUUGAGAUACUGACGAUCGAAUCUCGGGCAAGUAACAUGCCGAUGACAAAGGGAACAACGUAUGUUGUUAUGCGGUCUGACCGAUAAAGAUCUUCGUAGAAUAUGUAGGAGCCAAUAUGAGCAUCCAGGUUCCUCUAUUGGUUAUUGACCGGAGACGUGUCUCGGUCAUGUCUACAUAGUUGUCGAACCCGUAGGGUCCGCACGCUUAACGUUUCGAUGAUAGUUAUAUUAUGAGUUUAUAUGUUUUGAUGUACCGAAGGUUGUUCGGAGUCCCGGAUGUGAUCACGGACAUGAAGAGGAGUCUCGAAAUGGUCGAGACAUGAAGAUUGAUAUAUUGGAAGCCUAUGUUUGGAUAUCAGAAGUGUUCCGAGUGAAAUCGGGAUUUUACCGGAGUACCGGGAGGUUAGCGGAACCCCCAGUAACUUAAUGGGCCUUAGUGGUCCUAGGUGGAAGAGAGGAGAGGAGGCAAGGGCUGGCCGCGCGCCCCUCCCCCCUAGUCCGAAUAGGACAAGGAGAGGGGGGUGGCGCCCCCCCCCCUUCUUUCUCCUCCACUCCUUCCCCCUCCCAAGUCCUAAUCCAACUAGGAAAGGGGGGAGUCCUACUCCCGGUGGGAGUAGGACUCCUCCGGCGCGCCUCCUCCUAUGGCCGGCUGCACCCCCCCCCCUUGCUCCUUUAUAUACGGGGGCAGGGGGGCAUCCCAUAGAUACAACAAUUGAUCAUUUGAUCUUUUAGCCGUGUGUGGUGCCCCCCUCCACCAUAGUCCACCUCGAUAAUACUGUAGCGGUGCUUAGGCGAAGCCCUGCAUUGGUAGAACAUCAUCAUCUUCACCACGCCGUCGUGCUGACGAAACUCUCCCUCAACACUCGGCUGGAUCGGCGUUCGAGGGACGUCAUCGGGCUAAACGUGUGCUGAACUCGGAGGUGCCGUGCGUUUGGUACUUGAUCAGACAGAUCGUGAAGACGUACGACUACAUCAACCGCGUUGUGCUAAGGCUUGCGCUUUCGGUCUACGAGGGUACGUGGCCAACACUCUCCCCUCUCGUUGCUAUGCAUCACCAUGAUCUUGCGUGUGCAUAGGAAUUUUUUUGAAAUUACUACGUUCCCCAACAAUGGCAUCCGAGCCUGAUUUUAUGCGUAGAUGUCAUAUGCACGUGUAGAACACAAGUGAGUUGUGGGCGAUAUAAGCCAUACUGCUUACCAGCAUGUCAUACUUUGGUUCGGCGGUAUUGUUGGAUGAAGCGGCCCGGACCGACAUUACGCGUACGCUUACGCGAGACUGGUUCUACCGACGUGCUUUGCACAGAGGUGGCUGGCGGGUGUCAGUCUCUCCAACUUUAGUUGAACCGAGUGUGGCUACGCCCGGUCCUUGCGAAGGUUAAAACAGCACCAACUUGACAAACUAUCAUUGUGGUUUUUGAUGCGUAGGUAAGAAUGGUUCUUGCUAAGACCGUAGCAGCCAUGUAAAACUUGCAACAACAAAGUAGAGGAUGUCUAACUUGUUUUUGCAGGGCAUGUUGUGAUGUGAUAUGGUCAAGACAUGAUGCUAAAUUUUGUUGUAUGAGAUGAUCAUGUUUUUAACCGAGUUAUCGGCAACUGGCAGGAGCCAUAUGGUUGUCGCUUUAUUGUAUGCAAUGCAAUCGACCUGUAAUGCUUUACUUUAUCACUAAGCGGUAGCGAUAGUCGAAGAAGCAUAAGAUUGGCGAGACGACAACGAUGCUACGAUGGAGAUCAAGGUGUCGCGCCGGUGACGACGGUGAUCACGGAGGUGCUUCGGAGAUGGAGAUCACAAGCACAAGAUGAUGAUGGCCAUAUCAUAUCACUUAUAUUGAUUGCAUGUGAUGUUUAUCUUUUAUGCAUCUUAUCUUGCUUUGAUUGACGAUAGCAUUAUAAGAUGAUCCCUCACUAAAUUAUCAAAGUAUAAGUGUUCUCCCUGAGUAUGCACUGUUGCGAAAAUUCUUCGUGCUGAGACACCACGUGAUGAUCAGGUGUGAUAGGCUCUACGUUCAAAUACAAUGGGUGCAAAACAGUUGCACACGCGGAAUACUUAGGUUAAACUUGACGAGCCUAGCAUAUAACAGAUAUGGCCUCAGAACACGGAGACCGAAAGGUCGAGCGUGAAUCAUAUAGUAGAUAUGAUCAGCAUAGUGAUGUUCACCAUUGAAACUACUCCAUCUCACGUGAUGAUCGGACAUGGUUUAGUUGAUUUGGAUCACGUGAUCACUUAGAGGAUUAGAGGGAUGUCUAUCUAAGUGGGAGUUCUUAAGUAAUAUGAUUAAUUGAACUUAAAUUUAUCGUGAACUUAGUACCUGAUAGUAUCUUGCUUGUUUAUGUUGAUUGUAGAUAGAUGGCCCGUGCUGUUGUUCCGUUGAAUUUUAAUGUGUUCCUUGAGAAAGCAAAGUUGAAAGAUGAUGGUAGCAAUUACACGGACUGGGUCCGUAACUUGAGGAUUAUCCUCACUGCUGCACAGAAGAAUUACGUCCUGGAAGUACCGCUGGGUGCCAGGCCUGCUGCAGGAGCAACACCAGAUGCUAUGAACAUCUGGCAGAGCAAAGCUGAUGACUACUCGAUAGUUCAGUGUGCCAUGCUUUACGGCUUAGAACCGGGACUUCAACGGCGUUUUGAACGUCAUGGAGCAUAUGAGAUGUUCCAGGAGUUGAAGUUAAUAUUUCAAGCAAAUGCCCGGAUUGAGAGAUAUGAAGUCUCCAAUAAGUUCUAUAGCUGCAAGAUGGAGGAGAACAGUUCUGUCAGUGAGCAUAUACUCAAAAUGUCUGGGUAUAAUAAUCACUUGAUUCAAUUGGGAGUUAAUCUUCCAGAUGAUUGCGUCAUUGACAGAAUUCUCCAAUCACUGCCACCAAGCUACAAGAGCUUCGUGAUGAACUAUAAUAUGCAAGGGAUGAAUAAGACUAUUCCCGAGCUCUUCGCAAUGCUGAAAGCUGCGGAAGUAGAAAUCAAGAAGGAGCAUCAAGUGUGUAUGGUCAACAAGACCACCAGUUUCAAGAAAAAGGGCAAAGGGAAGAAGAAGGGGAACUUCAAGAAGAACAGCAAACAAGUUGCUGCUCAAGAGAGGAAACCCAAGUCUGGACCUAAGCCUGAAACUGAGUGUUUCUACUGCAAGCAAACUGGUCACUGGAAGCGGAACUGCCCCAAGUAUUUGGCGGAUAAGAAGGAUGGCAAGGUGAACAAAGGUAUAUGUGAUAUACAUGUUAUUGAUGUGUACCUUACUAAUGCUCGCAGUAGCACCUAGGUAUUUGAUACUGGUUCUAUUGCUAAUAUUUGCAACUCAAAACAGGGGUUACAGAUUAAGCAAAGAUUGGCUAAGGACAAGGUAACGAUGAGCGUGGGAAAUGGUUCCAAAGUUGAUGUGAUCGCAGUCGGAAUGCUACCUCUACAUCUACCUUCGGGAUUAGUAUUAGACCUAAAUAAUUGUUAUUUGGUGCCAGCGUUGAGCAUGAAUAUUAUAUCUGGAUCUUAUUUGAUGCAAGACGGUUAUUCAUUUAAAUCAGAGAAUAAUGGUUGUUCUAUUUAUAUGAGUAAUAUCUUUUAUGGUCAUGCACCCUUGAAGAGUGGUCUAUUCUUAUUGAAUCUUGAUAGUAGUGACACACAUAUUCAUAAUGUUGAAGCCAAAAGAUGCAGAGUUGAUAAUGAUAGUGCAACUUAUUUGUGGCACUACCGUUUAGGUCAUAUCGGUGUAAAGCGCAUGAAAAAACUCCAUACCGAUGGACUUUUGGAACCACUUGAUUAUGAAUCACUCUCUACUUGCGAACUGUGCCUCAUGGGCAAAAUGACUAAAACACCGUUCUCCGAUACUAUGGAGAGAGCAACAGAUUUGUUGGAAAUCAUACAUACAGAUGUAUGUGGUCCGAUGAAUGUUGAGGCUCGUGGCGGAUAUCGUUAUUUUCUCACCUUCACAGAUGACUUAAGAAGAUAUGGGUAUAUCUACUUAAUGAAACAUAAGUUUGAAACAUUUGAAAAGUUCAAAGAAUUUCAGAGUGAAGUUGAAAAUCAUCGUAACAAGAAAAUAAAGUUUCUACGAUCUGAUCAUGGAGGAGAAUAUUUGAGUUACGAGUUUGGUGUACAUUUAAAAAAUGCGGAAUAGUUUCGAAACUCACGCCACCCGGAACACCACAACAUAAUGGUGUGUCCAAACGUCGUAAUCGUACUUUACUAGAUAUGGUGCGAUCUAUGAUGUCUCUUACUGAUUUACCGCUAUCGUUUUGGGGUUAUGCUUUAGAGACGGCCGCAUUCACGUUAAAUAGGGCACCAUCAAAAUCCGUUGAGACGACGCCUUAUGAACUGUGGUUUGGCAAAAAACCGAAGUUGUUGUUUUUGAAAGUUUGGGGCUGCGAUGCUUAUGUGAAAAAGCUUUAACCUGAUAAGCUCGAACCCAAAUCGGAGAAAUGUGUCUUCAUAGGAUACCCAAAGGAGACCGUUGGGUACACCUUCUAUCACAGAUCCGAAGGCAAGAUUUUUGUUGCUAAAUUAGGAAACUUUCUAGAGAAGGAGUUUCUCUCGAAAGAAGUGAGUGGGAGGAAAGCAGAACUUGAUGAGGUAACUGUACUUGCUCCCUUAUUGGAAAGUAGUUCAUCACGGAAACCGGCUUCCGUGACACCUACACCAAUCAGUGAGGAAGUUAAUGAUGAUGAUCAUGAAACUUCAGACCAAGUUACUACUGAGCCUCAUAGAUCAACCAGAGUAAGAUCCGCAGCAGAGUGGUACGGUAGUCCUGUUCUGGAAGUCAUGCUACUAGAUCAUGAUGACCCUACGAACUAUGAAGAAGCGAUGGUGAGCCCAGAUUCCGCAAAAUGGCUUGAGGCCAUGAAAUCUGAGAUGGGAUCCAUGUAUGAGAACAAAGUAUGGACUUUGGUUGACUUGCCUGAUGAUCGGCAAGCAAUUGAAAAUAAAUGGAUCUUCAAGAAGAAGACUGACACUGACGGUAAUGUUACUGUCUACAAAGCUCGACUUGUUGUGAAAGGUUUUCGACAAGUUCAAGGGAUUGACUAUGAUGAGACCUUCUCACUCGUAGCGAUGCUUAAGUCUGUCCGAAUCAUGUUAGCAAUUACCAUAUUUUAUGAUUAUGAAAUUUGGCAAAUGGAUGUCAAAACUGCAUUUCUGAAUGGAUUUCUAGAAGAAGAGUUGUAUAUGAUGCAACCAGAAGGUUUUGUGGAUCCAAAGGGAGCUAACAAAAUGUGCAAGCUCCAGCGGUCCAUUUAUGGACUGGUGCAAGCCUCUCAGAGUUGGAAUAAACGCUUUGAUAGUAUGAUCAAAGCAUUUGGUUUUGUACAGACUUUUGGAGAAGCCUGUAUUUAUAAGAAAGUGAGUGGGAGCUCUGUAGCAUUUCUAAUAUUAUAUGUACAUAUUGCUGGUUGGAAAUGAUAUAGAAUUUCUAGAUAGCAUAGGGAUACUUGAAUAAGAGUUUUUCAAUGAAAGACGACCUCGGUGAAGCUGCUUAUAUAUUGGGCAUUAAGAUAUAUAGAGAUAGAUCAAGACGCUUAAUUGGACUUUCACAAAGCACAUACCUUGAAAAAGUUUUGAAGAAGUUCAAAAUGGAUCAAGCAAAGAAAGGGUUCUUGCCUGUGUUACAAGGUGUGGAGUUCAGUAAGACUCAAUGCCCGACCACUGCAGAAGAUAGAGAGAAAAUGAAAGAUGUUCCCUAUGCUUCAGCCAUAGGCUCUAUCAUGUAUGCAAUGUUGUGUACCAGACCUGAUGUGUGCCUUGCUAUAAGCCUAGCAGGGAGGUACCAAAGUAAUCCAGGAGUGGAUCACUGGACAGCGGUCAAGAACAUCCUGAAAUACCUGAAAAGGACUAAGGAUAUGUUUCUCAUUUAUGGAGGUGACAAAGAGCUCAUCGUAAAUGGUUACGUUGAUGCAAGCUUUGACACUGAUCCGGACGAUUCUAAAUCACAAACCGGAUACGUGUUUACAUUGAACGGUGGUGCUGUCAGUUGGUGCAGUUCUAAACAAAGCGUCGUGGCGGGAUCUACGUGUGAAGCGGAGUACGUAGCUGCUUCAGAAGCAGCAAAUAAAGGAAUCCAGAUUUCAGAAGAGAUAUAGAUUUGCAAGAUACAUACGGAUCUGAAUGUUGCAGACCCGUUGACUAAGCCUCUUCCACGAGCAAAACAUGAUCAGCACCAAGGCUCCAUGGGUGUUAGAAUCAUUACUGUGUAAUCUAGAUUAUAGACUCUAGUUUAAGUGGGAGACUGAAGGAAAUAUGCCCUAGAGGCAAUAAUAAAGUUAUUAUUUAUUUCCUUAUAUCAUGAUAAAUGUUUAUUAUUCAUGCUAGAAUUGUAUUAACCGAAAACAUAAUACAUGUGUGAAUACAUAGACAAACAAAGUGUCACUAGUAUGCCUCUACUUGACUAGCUUGUUGAUCAAAGAUGGUUAUGUUUCCUAGCCAUAGACAUGAGUUGUCAUUUGAUUAACGGGAUCACAUCAUUAGGAGAAUGAUGUGAUUGACAUGACCCAUUCCGUUAGCUUAGCACCCGAUCGUCUAGUAUGUUGCUAUUGCUUUCUUCAUGACUUAUACAUGUUCCUAUGACUAUGAUAUUAUGCAACUCCCGUUUACCGGAGGAGCACUUUGUGUGCUACAAAACGUCACAACGUAACUGGGUGAUUAUAAAGGAGCUCUACAGGUGUCUCCAAAGGUACAUGUUGGGUUGGCGUAUUUCGAGAUUAGGAUUUGUCACUCCGAUUGUCGGAGAGGUAUCUCUGGGCCCUCUCGGUAAUGCACAUUACUUAAGCAUUGCAACUAAUGAGUUAGUUGCGGGAUGAUGUAUUAUGGGAUGAGUAAAGAUACUUGCCGGUAACGAGAUUGAACUAGGUAUUGAGAUACUGACGAUCGAAUCUCGGGCAAGUAACAUACCGAUGACAAAGGGAACAACGUAUGUUGUUAUGUGGUCUGACCGAUAAAGAUCUUCGUAGAAUAUGUAGGAGCCAAUAUGAGCAUCCAGGUUCCUCUAUUGGUUAUUGACCAGAGACGUGUCUCGGUCAUGUCUACAUAGUUCUCGAACCCGUAGGGUCCGCACGCUUAACGUUUCGAUGACAUUUAUAUUAUGAGUUUAUAUGUUUUGAUGUACCGAAGGUUGUUCGCUGUCCUGGAUGUGAUCACGGACAUGACGAGGAGUCUCGAAAUGGUCGAGACAUGAAUAUUGAUAUAUUGGAAGCCUAUGUUUGGAUAUCGGAAGUGUUUCGGGUGAAAUCUGGAUUUUACCGGAGUACCGGGAUGUUACCGGAACCCCCCGGUAACUAAAUGGGCCUUAGUGGGCCUAGGUGGAAGAGAGGAGAGGAGGCAAGGGCUGGCUGCGCGCCCCUCCCCCCCCCCCUAGUCCGAAUAGGACAAGGAGAGGGGGGCGGCGCCCCCCCCCCUUCCUUCCUUCUCCUCCACUCCUUCCCCCUCCCAAGUCCUAAUCCAACUAGGAAAGGGGGGAGUCCUACUCCCGGUGGGAGUAGGACUCCUCCGGCGCGCCUCCUCCUAUGGCCGGCCGCACCCCCCUUGCUCCUUUAUAUACGGGGGCAGGGGGCACCCCAUAGAUACAACAAUUGAUCGUUUGAUCUUUUAGCCGUGUGCGGUGCCCCCCUCCACCAUAGUCCACCUCGAUAAUACUAUAGCGGUGCUGAGGCGAAGCCCUACGUCGGUUGAACAUCAUCAUCGUCACCAUGCCGUCGUGCUGACGAAACUCUCCCUCAACACUCAGCUGGACCGGAGUUCAAGGGACGUCAUCGGGCUGAACGUGUGCUGAACUCGGAGGUGCCGUGCGUUCGGUACUUGAUCGGUCGGACCGUGAAGACGUAUGACUACAUCAACCGCGUUGUGCUAACACUUCCGCUUUCGGUCUACGAGGGUACGUGGACAACACACUCCCCUCUCGUUGCUAUGCAUCACCAUGAUCUUGCGUGUGCGUAGGAAAUUUUUUCAAAUUACUACGUUCCCCAACAGUCCUCAUAAAUGGCAUUGUACCUGCCCUACAACCUAGCUAUGAGCACUUGCCAUCGAAAGCAAAAAUAUGCUUCUCCUUCUGUGUUGUUUAUCCCAAGGAUAGGAUGAUGGAUAAAGACAUAUUAAUCCGGCUAUGGAUGGAAAGUGUCUUCGUUGCAUCAGAAACAGCAGGCCAACAAAUUUGCGAUGUUCUAUUUUGGAGAUGUUUCUUACAAGAUGUGGAUAUUGGUAGGAUGUCUUCAUACAUAAUAUACAUGAUUUCAUGCAUGAUCUUGUUGACUCUGUAAGAAGAAAUAAUUGCUUACUUAUGCAAGAAUCUUCAUCGUCCCAAGAAAUUGUGGAACGAUCUACUGAUGGGAGUUCAUUUCAAUAUGAGGUUCAACAUUCGUCACUUGAUUUUUUAGUAAUAUUGCCACUUCGUAGGAAAUUAUUGCUCCCUGUCCGCUCACGAUAUUAGUCUCAUGAGAGAAGGACUGUAUUAAGACUCCGCUGCAUAUGGUCACAUAUAAAUUCAUGUUCCUGCAAGCAUUGAAGUCAUCCUCAAUCAAAACGCACAUGGGAAACUUAAAGCAUCUUCACUACCUAGAUUGUUCUAAUUCUUGUAUGUUUGAAUUGCCUGAAUCCACUACGUACCAUCUUGCAUAUAUAGCUUCCAAAAACUAAGGCUCAACCAUCAUUUAUUCCUUUACUAGAAGAGAUGAAAUUUAUGAGAAGUCUUCGGCACAUCUUCCUUACUAACUAUGGUUGUUUGGACCACAUGCCACAAGGUAUUGGUUAAUUGAAUUCUCCGACCACAUUGAUGAAUUAUGUCAUUGAUAGUGAUUCGGGUUAUGGGAAUUGAUCAACAUGAAAAUUUGAGUCUAGGUGGUGCUCUUUCUUUUACUCAAUUGAUAAAGGUGAGUAGUGCAAAAAAGUGUUAAACAAGGCAAUAUGUCCACCAAAGCAUAAGUUGAAAUGAUUAUCACUCGAUUUGUACUGGGAUUAUAGAAGAAACUAUGGAGAUAAAGUACAUAAUAAUGCGAAAGGAAUAUUACAAGCCCUUCACCCUAAAAAAGGAUUAAAUUUUUAUUGUUAAUUAUGUUGUUAUACUGGAGCUAAAUUAUCAUCGUGGAUGCAAAACUCUACACUGUUCAAACACCUCCCUGAUUGCUAUUCAAGUAGAUGCAAGAACGGCAAGGAUCCCCACCAUUAUGGCAGCUUCCUUGCAUCAAGUAGUGGCGUUUGGAAUGCUUGAUGUGUAUAUGUGUUUGUAAUAAUGAUAAAAAAUGUGAGGAAUCCUGUAUUUCUCCACAAUCAUUCUUCCCAAAACUAGAAAACCUAAUAGAUAGCAACAUUCCAAAGCUACAGAGAUGGCACCAUGAGGUUGUGAUACGUCUCCAACGUAUCUAUAAUUUUUGAUUGUUCCAUGCUAUUAUAUUAUCUGUUUUGGAUGUUUAAUGGGCUUUAAUAUGCUCUUUUAUAUUAUUUUUGGGACUAACCUAUUAACCGAAGGCCCAGUGCAAAUUGCUGUUUUUUUUUGCCUAUUUCAGUGUUUCGCAGAAAAGGUUAUCAAAUGGAACGAAACCUUCGCGAGGAUCUUUCUUGGAACAAACGCAACCCAAGAGACUUGGAGUGGAAGUCAAGGAAGAAACGAGGCAGCCACGAGGCAGGAGGGCGCCCCCCCACCCUCGUGGGCCCCUCAUAGCUCCACCGACCUACUUCUUUCGCCUAUAUAUACUCUUAUACCCUGAAAACAUCGAGGGGAUCCACGAAACCACUUUUCCACUGCCGCAACCUUCUGUACCCGUGAGAUCCCAUCUUGGGGCCUUUUCCGGUGAUCGUCCAGAGGGGAUUCGAUCACGGAGGGCUUCUACAUCAACACCAUAGCCUCUCCGAUGAUGUGUGAGUAGUUUACCAUAGACCUUCGGGUCCAUAGUUAUUAGCUAGAUGGCUUCUUCUCUCUCUUUGGUUCUCAAUACAAAGUUCUCCUCGAUUUUCUUGGAGAUCUAUUCGAUGAAAAACCUUUUGCGGUGUUUUUGCCGAGAUCCAAUGAAUUGUGGGUCUAUGAUCAAGAUUAUCUAUGAAAAAUAUUUGGUUCUUCUCUGAAUUCUUAUAUGCAUGAUUUAAUAUCUUUGCAAGUCUCUUCGAAUUAUCGGUUUAGUUUGGCCUACUAGAUUGAUCUUUCUUGCAAUGGGAAAAGUGCUUAGCUUUGGGUUCAAUCUUGCGGUGCUCGAUCCCAGUGACAGAAAGGGAAACGACAUGUGUUGUAUUGUUGCCAUCGAGGAUAAAAAUAUGGGGUUUAUAUCAUAUUGCUUGAGUUUAUCCCUCUACAUCAUGUCAUCUUGCCUAAUGCGUUACUCUAUUCUUAUGAACUUAAUACUCUAGAUGCAUGCUCGAUAGCGGUCGAUGUGUGGAGUAAUAGUAGUAGAUGCAGAAUCGUUUCGGUCUACUUGUCACGGACGUGAUGCCUAUGUUCAUGAUCAUUCCUAGAUAUUCUCAUAACUAUGUGCUUUUCUAUCAAUUGCUCAACAGUAAUUUGUUCACCCACCGUAAUAUAUGCUAUCUUGAGAGAAGCCACUAGUGAAACCUAUGGCCCCCGGGUCUACUUUACAUCAUAUAAGUUUCCGAUCUACAAUUCUAGUUUACUAUUUAUUUUCAAUCUUUACUUUUCCAAUCUAUACAACAAAAAUACCAAAAAUAUUUAUCUUAUUAUCUUUAUCAGGUCUCACUUUUGCAAGUGGCCGUGAAGGGAUUGACAACCCUUUUAUCGCAUUGGUUGCAAGGUUCUUGAUUGUUUGUGCAUGUACUAGGAGAUUUGUGUGUAGUCUCCUACUGGAUUGAUACCUUGGUUCUCAAAAACUAAGAGAAAUAAUUACACUACUUUGUUGCAUCACCCUUUCUUGUUCAAGGGAAAACCAAUGUAUGCUCAAGAGGUUGCAGGAGAAGUAACAGAUGUAGCAUUCCUUUAGCUCAAGAUGUUAAAUAUUCGUAAUUACUCAGUGCGAGAAAGUACACCUCAGAUGCUCCCUUUGGUUGAAGAUCUAUAGGUGUUUGGAAAAAACAUUUUUCCAAUUUACCAUUAGAUGAAUUUGUGAGUGCAAUCUAAUCUUGAGUGCGAAGGUAUAUUUUGUGGAACCUACAGUCGAUUGUCUGCUUACUGAUGACCUUCAUAUCCCAAGUCAUGGAGACUAACAUGUCACUAAUGCUCAUAGGUCUGACAAAAAAAUGUGGAAUUCUUUGAAGAAGAGCUUAACAGAAUAUGCAAAGGUGGAGAUAAUAGAUCGUGACUGUGUAGUUGCUUGUUUGAUGCUAUGUGAUUCAUUUGGUUAGGUUGCUUGUUUUGAGGGCUCAUAUUAUCAAACUUGUUGAACAACCACUGCAGAUGCUUUGAUUUCUUUUAUUUGGAAAUUGUUAAUUAUUGAAUGUUGAGCAUCAAAGAAAAUUGACCGAGUACAAAAAAAUAGGGGGGGGGGAGGAGGUGGCGAACGUGUCCGUGCUCUAGCACCCUCCCGGUUGUCCACGAACAUGUUCAGACAUGCGUCCAUGGAUGUUUGACGGUGUUCAUUUGAUGAAUAGAAAAGUGUAGGAUAUGCCCUUUGUCUUCAAGGCAACUUUUAAUGCUUAAAAAUUGACUUUGAUUUUUAGAAGGGACAUAGGUUUAUUGUAAAGGUCUAUCCUCUUUAUAAUAGUUGAUUUAGGAAUAAUUAUUUCCAACCUAGUACAUAUUGAUAAUUUGUUUGAAGGUUACACGAGUAAAUUGAAAUUGAGAAACUAUUUGAAAGUUUUGUGCAUAUAUUUUUGAAACUCAGAAGUUGCAACAAUGUGUUGCGGAAUCAAUGACUUGAUGAGGGGCAAAUUGAUCAAUCCUGAAAGCCAUGUAGAAAUAUCAAAUCGGUUAUACCAAAGUAUGUAUAGAACACAUCAAUCUAGAUUUGACAUAUCAAUGCGAGGGGAUACAAACUUAGUAUCAACAUAUCUUUUUGCAUUCACUGGACACUAUUCUUUUGGAUAUCCAUGAUCAAGAUAUGUUGCAUUAAAGAAAUGGUGGAAGUCAGAUGUGUAGUAUCAACAUCAUUAAUAAAGGAUAUCCAAAUUGAGUAUAUACAUAUUUGUAUAUAGAUUUGACACUAAUCAUAUGCAUAUCCAUGACGCAACUUGCAAACUUCAUUUAUGAAACCCAACUAUACGCAUUAUAAAUAAACAUCAACCUCCCAUACAUCAUAUCCCUCCAACUCCUCACCCCCCCCCCCACGCAAAUAUCCAUGCACAUAUUAGAUAUCAUUAAAAAGGAGAUCAAAACUGAGCACUCAAAUAUUUAUGCACAGAUUAACCAAUAAUAAUAGGCAUAUCCAUGACCAAGCUCCAUACUGCAUUUAUGAACCCCACUAUACACAUUAUAAAUAAAUCUCAACCUCUCAUACAUCAUAUCCAACCAUUUUCCCCCUACACAACCAUCUAUAUCCAUUUAUCCCCACCUCUCUAGGUUGUAGUACAAUUCAACGCUUCUAACAAGCCUUGCAACAAUAUAUAUAUGGCACGAACACAGAUGGACACCAUCAUCUUUUCCGCCAUUGUCUUCAUGUUGCUUUUCGUGACCACGACGGCUCAAGCCAGUGGAUCUGGUGGUGCCAAGCCCAAGGCGACCGACCUCGUGAUAGAAGUGUGCAAGAACGCCACAUUAAACAACGCAAAUGUGGAUCCUCUCAGAGAGGAAUUCUGUUUAACGACCCUCUAGUCAGACAAUCGAAGCGCUGAGGCUAAGGAACUCCGUGACUUGCUGCAAGUCACCGUCGACAUCCUUAGGGGUCGAGUCACUACUACCAGCAGCAAGGUCAAGAAAAUGUUGGAAAACACCAAGAAGGGCACGGUGCCAAUGCGCGUCUUCAGUUUGUGUGAGGUGGAUUAUGACACCAUGGUGAGCGUCAUCAACAUAUGUGAUGCCAUUAUCAAGGAUUACCAACGUGACGAGGGCAGGCAAUGGUCCAAAGAGCUAGUCCGUUGGAUGGAUAUGGCACGUGAUCAUGUCAAUGAGUGCAUCUCUGAGCUUGUUGACAUGCCUGCAGUGGGGGCUCUUGUCAAUGAAAACAAUGAAUUGGGAAUGCUGGUUAAACUGAACACCGCCUUGGUAGCAGCCCGUAUGUUUCCCGAGUAAUAGGAUGUUUGUGUUUAUAUGGCAGAAAAUAUGUCGAUGAGAAAUAAAUUGUACUAUUAAUAGUUAUUACUAUAAAUAUAAUGAUAAAUGUGUUGUGGCAUCAAUAUGCAUGGUUUUCCACAAAUUUUUCAUUUUGCUAUGAUAAUUCUAGAUUUUUUGGGGCCCAUUCGUCUUUCUUUCUUCAAAGUCUUACAAUAAUGACAUCUAUCACUCGUUGUGGAACCUCUCUUUUAAAUUGGCUCUUGAAAUCCGAUUGUCAGUAUUUUUUUAAUAUACCAUUGUUAGUAUGUUAUUCUGAUGUGUUGAACUUAUCUAUCUCCCAAGUUAUCUCUAUGCGUGAAUAUUUUCAAGUAUGAAGAGCCAAGGUCAAUGUAACAGCGCAAACAAUUGCAACCACCCGUUUAGCCAACAGGCUACUACCAUCUACGUGUCAAUCCUUAUCUUUACAUAAUAUAAUAAUAAAGAACGGAGGCUUUCAUAUUGUCCAUCACUCAUCUGUUUAUAUCGAUCGAUUUUAUGUUAACCAUAAAAAUUAACGGCUGGGAUUUAAAAAUAAAUCAACACACAUGUAAUAAGAAAAGCAAACAAACAAACGCUAUGGAACAAAGUAAAAAAAGUCAUGAACGUUGCACGUCUCUCUUGACGAUGAGAAAAAGGAAAACAAUCAUAUAUAUCAGAUCAAUUUCCUGACAAUCCCUCUUUGGCACUGCAAGCGCCGGUUAUAACUGUUUUGUGCAAACCGGCGCCUGCAGCCCACAUCCCUCUAAUGCGACUGGGCCGGUCCAUGUAUCUGCUUUUAUAUUUUUUUCUAAAGGUUCAGAAAAUGUGUGUCCGCACGAAAUUGAACUCAAGAUCUGCUCUAGUAAAUUAGCACCGCAACCAUCAGGCCACAAAAUAUCGCGGUAACUCCUCCGUUUGGGAAUCUUCCAGAACCUUCCCUAAACCGUUUUUUGGUUCGUUGGUCAUUUCCAGGUGCGAUUUUACUCGGUUUUCUUUUGUUCUUUUCCUUUUAUUUCUUAAAUGCGUUUUUUUAUCGUGUUAUUUUUCAAAAUCAAUCAUGUUUUUCUCUUUCACGUAUUUAACAAAAUCAAUGAACUUUUUUCCAAAUUCGAUGAACCUUUUUAAAAAUUGAUGAACUUUUUUGAAAUACGAGUAACUUUGUUCAAAUCUGAUGAACUUUUUUUUCAAAAUUGAUUCUACAACUAUCGCUAAUGCAUAGUGAUAAAGUAAGUCAAUUACAUGGCAUUUGCAUCUCAUACAAUAAAGCGACAACCAUAAGGCAACUGCCAGUUGCCGAUAACUUUUACAAAACAUGAUCAUCUCAUACAAUAACGUAUAUCACAUCAUGUCUUGACCAUAUCACAUCACAACAUGCCCUGCAAAAACAAGUUAGACAUCCUCUACUUUGAUGUUGCAAGUUUUACGUGGCUGCUACGGGCUUCUAGCAAGAAACAUUCUUAACUACGCAUCAAAACCACAACGGUGAUUUAUCAAGUUUGUUGUUUUAGCCUUCAACAAGGACCGGACGCAGUCAAAUUCGAUUCAACAAAAGUGGGAGAAACAGACACCCACCAGCCACCUUUAUGCAAAACUAGUUGCAUGUCUGUCGGUGGAACAGGUCUCAUGAACGUGGUCAUGUAAGGUUGGUACGGGCCGCUUCAUCCAACAAUACCGCCGAAUCAAAAUAAGACAUUGGUGGUAAGCAUAGACCUGGCUUGGAUGCCACUGUUGGUGCAAUUUCAAAAAAAAUCCUACGCUCACGUAAGAUCUAUCUAGGAGAUGUAUAGCAACAAGAGGGGGAGAGUGUGUCCACGUACCCUCGUAGACCAAAAGCAGAAUCAUUUUGACAAUGUGGUUGAUGUAGUCGAACUUCUUCUCGUUCCGACCGAUUAAACACCGAACGUACGGCACCUCCGAGUUCUGCACACGUUUAGCUCAAUGACGUCCCUCGAGCUCUUGAUCCAACAGAUUGUCGAGGGAGAGUUUCGUCAGCACAAUGGCGUGGUGAUGGUGAUGGUGAAGUGAUCCGCACAGGGCUUCGCCUAAGCACUAUGACAACUAGUCGUCUACCCGUGCGUUCGCACGGGCUAUAGAAAUUAUAUAUUUACAAAAUCUUCACAAUACAUAUUCUAAGGACAAUGGUGAUUGAUAUUAGAUGACAUUUCAUUUUCCUAUCCUCACUGUAAUGGAUGAGCCCAAAAUUAGAAAGAUAACAAUACAUGCCAUAGCAUUAAUAAUUAACAUAGAGAACCUUUUGUUGUAUAAAUCAUUCUUAGAUUCUCGUUGACAACCUUGAAUCAUAAGAACUGGCCAAAUUAUGUCUCUGUAUAACUUGUGUUGGUAUAUUUUAGUUAGAAAUCAAUAAUACUUUUGCUAAUAUUUGACCUGAAAAUGAGAAUGUUUUUUAUAAUUUAUACCACGAUGUAUGUCAGGAAGAACCUAUAAAUAUAAUAAAGUGGUGUUGUCUAUGUAAAAAAAGUCUCGCAUAAAUUUGAAUAUAAAGACAUUAUUUUGUUUGUUCUUGGAAUUAUUAUAUCCUCGAGUAAUAUUGUAUGAAUAAAUAUAUGACAACCCAAUUGUAUAGUUGGAUUAUUUUUAAUAUGCAGAACUCCAAAGCACGGAAGGUUCAUAUUAGAAUUUUUAAUGCAUGUAAUGUAUCAAAUUCUGAAGUAGAUUUGAAAGUCUGAUAUCAUAAUACAUUUCACAAUGACUCCAAAAAAGAUUUUGGUUGAUGGCUUGCGUGAAAUUUGUUUCAUUAGAUUUUUCACAUGAAAUAUGUUCAGAGUAUUACUCUUUGAACUUGUUGUGUUUGCAUGUUCGAGCAAAAAAUAAUUAUCAAGUUUAAUAGUAAGAAACUUAAAAUGAUUAGAAACUUUAAAUAGUAUUGGGACUCAUAGAGUGCAAUUUUUAAAUGUUACCAGUUCCUCUCAUCAUGGGCGUAGUCAAUUGGAACACUUGGUUUGUUUUUCCUGUUUGCAGUUGAGAAGGUGAAUCUUACUGACUACAUAUAAUGUAUUGAUUUCUACUCCAGCACGUACGCCAUGACAAACUUGUACCUGCUGCGAGGCCCUCUCGAGCAAUCGAUACAUACAUAUGUUAGUGCGUAUACUUUCUUUUAAUGUAUAUACUUGUCUUUGCUAUAGCCUUCUUCCUACAUCUGCGAGUAAGCAGCAACCUGUUUUUUUAAUAAUUGUCACCUUGAACAUGGCACACAUGAACCCUAUAUUCCUCCAUUGCCGAACCAUCUAAAACAACUAACUUUUCCUUACUCACUGACACACGGUUUUAAGCAUCAUCCCAUACUGUUCAUUUUUCAUAUUCUAAUAUGUUUUCCAAACUGAGAAAAUGAUACAACCAAUCAUAUCUAGCGAAAUUGUUCUGCAACUUUCUUGCUGUAAGCAUGAUAUAAUUCUUCCUUGAAAUUGAUGGGAAAUAGGCUAAAGGGUAAUCUGUUUCUAUUAAAAACUACAACGCAGAAUCAGGUUUUUCGUCUUAGUUUGCAAACCCUAAACAAGAAUCGAACGAAAUUGGUACCACUGGAAAGCUUGCAACGUAUCCCAUAACUUUUACCACUGUCUUAAUUUCAGAUUAUGCAAUGUUUUAUCACAGUUUUAAACUUAACUCUACCGGCUCAGACAACCCAUGCCUAGAUAAAUACUUAGCGUCAGUCUCUCCAAUCCAUCUUUCUACUUUGCCAAUAAUGACUAAUUAGGGUUUACCUUUUCUGUGUGGAAUCAUUCUUCCAGUUCCAUGGCAAGAUCACAAAUUUUGGACGACCCAACGGAUUCUCCUUCCUCCAGAGUCUUCUUCUCCGCUCAGAUUGGCUACUGCGCCUUACUCUUCUGAUUACAUGUAUUCCCUUCUCUCUUCUGACUAAAUUCUCCCUGGUGCAAUAUGUGCAGUCUACUGCCUUGAGCUGCUCCUUGUCAUAGCUUGCUCUGCACUCCAGAUCUCUUGCUCUGAUUGGUGGCUGGAUCAAAUGCAACCCACCCAACAGUAGUUAGCUCAACAUAAGCGGCUUCAAAAAAACGCAAGGAGCAGCACAUAAACGUAAAGGUCGACGACUGAAAAUGGCAACACCAUCCUAGAGCAGUGGAGCUCACGGCUAUACGUAGAACUUGGUGGUGGUAGUCAUGAACAGCGACCAGCACCAGCCUCCGGUAGAAGGGGGCAGUUCAUCCAUGUGCUUGAGUGUUGACGGCUGGCCAUAUUGUGAACGACAGAGUCGUCAAUUCUGACUAAGUGUAGUCUCAUGCUGAUUCUCUACUGCCGCAUAGGCAUGUCCGGCGGUGGCCAGCGUGACUGCAUGCUGGGUCAUCGAUCAAUGAUCCGGGCAAUUCAAUUGUAAACCCCAAAAAAGCAAAUUCAAAGCAAAUCAGUGUGAGAUGAGGAACCUGAUUUAGAUAAGGAACAAAAUUCUAAUGUGAUAACUUCAGCGAGAGCUUGGGAUCCAUGCCCUAACAUCCUUGCUCCAAUUUGAGAGAGAGAACGAUCUGUUUACCAUGUGUGAAGUAAAGAGAGACAUGAGAGAAGAGAUAUAUGAGAGUUUGAGAGAGGGAGAAACGGGAUAGAUUGAGAGAGAUAGACGAAGAUAAAUAUGACAGUUUGAGAGAGAGAAAGAGACGUGAGGGACUAAGAGAGAGAGAGUUUGAGAGAGGGACGUCAGAGAUUGUGAGAGACCACGAUUUCUUAGGUUGUUGUUUUUCUUUUACUCUGAGAGGAAUAGAAAGAGGUAGAUAUUUUAUGGUUUACUAUUCAAAAGUUUUUUUGGCAGAACUAAGCUGCCUGAAUGGUCAAAAAAAAUAUUGUUCUCUGAAGAUUAAUCUACACCGUAAUAACUCGGUCCCACCAGAUGAACGGCUGGUAAAUUCUAAUUAACGUGGUAAUUUUUAGGGAGUCUGUAAUUAAUAUAAGUAUAGAUAUAGAUAUAGAUAGAUAGAUAGAUAUAGAUAGAUAGAUAUAGAUAGAUAGAUAUAGAUAUAGAUAGAUAGAUAGAUAGAUAGAUAGAUAGAUAUAGAUAGAUAGAUAUGACUGAAGGCGUAAACUGUGGAGGGGCGCCGCACACGGCUAGGAAUCAAUGUUGUGUGUUCUAGAGAUGCCCCUCCCACAUAUAUAUUAGGUGGGAGAGGGAGGGGAGCAGCAAGGGGCGCCUCCUCCAAGUCGCCCCCCCCUCCCUUUCAUAAGUGUUGGAGGCUGAAUCCUCCCCUUUCCUUCUCCCUUCCCUCCUUUCCUUCUUCUCCUAUUUUGGUCUACAUGGGGCGCACCAGCCCACUAGGGGCUGGUCUGUCCCCUGCUUGGCCCAUUAGGCCCAUGUAGUUGCCGGGGGAUGUCCGGAACCCCUUCCGUUGACCCGAUAUGUACCAGGAACCCUCGGAACACUUCCAGUGUCCAAAUACCAUCGUCCUAUAUAUGAAUCUUUACCUAUCGACCAUUUUGAGACUCCUCGUCAUGUCCGUGAUCUCAUCCGGGACUCCGAACAACAUUCGGUCACCAAAUCGCAUAACUCAUAUAAUACAAAAUCGUCAUCAAACGUUAAGUGUGCGGACCCUACGGGUUCGAGAACUAUGUAGACAUGACUAAGACACCUCUCCGGUCAAUAACCAACAGCGGAAACUGGAUGCUCAUAUUGGUUCCUACAUAUUCUACGAAGAUCUUUAUCGGUCGUACCGUAAUGACAACAUACGUUAUUCCCUUUGUCAUUGGUAUGUUACUUGCCCGAGAUUCGAUCGUCGAUAUCUUCAUACCUAUUUCAAUAUCGUUACCGGCAAGUCUCUUCACUCGUUCCAUAAUACAUCAUCCCAAAAUUAACUCAUUAGUCACAUUGCUUUCAAGGCUUAUUAUGAUGUGCAUUACCGAGAGGGCCCAGAGAUACCUCACCGAUACUCGGAGUGACAAAUCCUAAUCUCAAUCUAUGCCAACCCAACAAACACCUUCGGAGAUACCUGUAGAGCAUCUUUAUAAUCACCCAGUUCCGUUGUGACGUUUGAUAGUACACAAGGCAUUACUCCGGUAUCCGAGAGUUGCAUAAUCUCAUAGUCAAAGGAACAUGUCUAUGACAUGAAGAAAGCUGUAGCAAUAAAACUGAACGAUCAAUAUGCUAAGCUAACCGAUGGGUCUUUUCCAUCACAUCAUUCUCCUAAUGAUGUGAUCCCGUCCAUCAAAUGACAACACAUGUCUAUGGUUAGGAAACUCAACCAUCUUUGAUUAACGAGCUAGUCUAGUAGAGGCUUACUAGGGAAACUGUGUUUUGUCUAUGUAUCCACACAUGUAUCUAGUUUCCGGUUAAUACAAUUCUAGCAUGAAUAAUAAACAUGUAUCAUGAUAUAAGGAAAUAUAAAUAAGAACUUUAUUAUUGCCUCUAGGGCAUAUUUCCUUCACUAAGAGAGGAAGGCGGUUGUCGCCCUUGUCCCUUGUUACCAGCCUACCAUGCCGUCAUCGAUCACUGGCUCACUUAGAACACGAGCUAGUAGAUUUUGUGAUAAGAGUGAGGAGGAUGGUACCGUAGAAAAUGUGAAAAAUUGUAUUUUAUUAGAGAUGGAUUCAAAACAAAUUGCUUGAGCGAGUGGUUUAUAUAUUUUCUUCAUCAAUUCGUACAAUUUUUUGGUUAGGAUAGAGGGGUAAAUGCAUUGGUUGGGUGCUUCAAGAUUUAAUAACGGACACAGUGGCAUAUUGGUUUCAUGCCAAACAACCGACAUCAUAUUUUUCUUUUGUCGUAAGGUACGACAUUCAACUGUAUGUUGGCAAUGUCUAAGGACAAUCAUAUCUGCCUUCUUGGGCGUCACGGGAGGCACAUGCCUUGUUCCCUUGAUGGAGGUGGCAGAUGGCAUGAUCACGGGGGGAGGGGAUCAGGGCAGAGAGCGGGGCGGUUGGCAGGUGAUAACCCACAAGUAUAGGGGAUCACAACAGUUUUCGAGGGUAGAGUAUUCAACCCAAAUUUACUGAUUCGACACAAGGAGAGCCAAAGAAUAUUCUCAAGUAUUAGCAGUUGAUUUGUCAAUUCAUCCACACCUGUAAGACUUCAUAUCUGCAGCAAAUUAUUUAGUAGCAAAGUAGUAUGGAAGUAACGGUAACGGUGGUAAAAGUAACAGUAACAGUUCUGUAGUAAUUGUAACAGUGGCAAUGGUAAAGUAACUAAGCAAAGAUCAAUAUGUGAAAAGCUCGUAGGCAUUGGAUCAAUGAUGGAUAAUUAUGUCGGAUGUGAUUCCUCAUGCAACAGUUAUAACAUAGGGUGACACAGAACUAGCUCCAGUUCAUCAAUGUAAUGUAGGCAUGUAUUUCGAAUAUAGUCAUACGUGCUUAUGGAAAAGAACUUGCAUGACAUCUUUUGUCUUACCCUCCCGUGGCAGGGGGUCCUGUUGGAAACUAAGGGAUAUUAAGGCCUCCUUUUAAUAGAGUACCGGACAAAAGCAUUAACACUUAGUGAAUACAUGAACUCCUCAAACUAUGGUAAUCACCGGGAGUGGUCCCGAUUAUUGUCACUUCGGGGUUACCGGAUCAUAACACAUAGUAGGUGACUAUUGACUUGCAAGAUAGGAUCAAGAACUCACAUAUAUUCAUGAAAACAUAAUAGGUUCAGAUAUGAAAUCAUGGCACUCGGGCCCUAGUGACAAGCAUUAAGCAUAGCAAAGUCAUAGCAACAUCAAUCUCAGAACAUAAUGGAUACUAGGGAUCAAACCCUAACAAAAAUAACUCGAUUACAUGGUAAAUCUCAUCCAACCCAUCACCGUCCAGCAUGCCUAUGAUGGAAUUACUCACGCACGGCGGUGAGCAUCAUGAAAUUGGUGAUGGAGGAAGGUUGAUGAUGACGAUGGCGACGGAUUCCCCUCUCUGGUGCCCCAAACGGACUCCAGAUCAUCCCUCCCGAGAGAGAUUAGGGCUUGGCGGCGGCUCCGUAUCGUAAAACGCGAUGAAUUCUUAUCUCUGAUUUUUUUCUCCCCGAGCGUGAAUAUAUACAGUUGGAGUUGAGGUCGGUGGAGCUUCAGGGGGCCCACGAGGCAAGGGGGCGCGCCCCCCACCCUCGUGGACAGGGUGUGGGCCCCUUGGUGUUGAUUCAUUCGCCAGUAUUUUUUAUAUAUUCCAAAAUAUUCUCCGUGAAGUUUCAGGUCAUUCCGAGAACUUCUAUUUCUGCACAAAAAUAACACCAUGGCAAUUCUACUGAAAACAGGGUCAGUCCGGAUUAGUUCCAUUCAAAUCAUGCAAGUUAGAGUCCAAAACAAGGGCAAAAGUGUUUGGAAAAGUAGAUAUGAUGGAGACAUAUUAGUAGGGGAUUCCUCCUUGAUGGUCCAUGGGGUUGUAUGUUGUGAAGGAGAAAGGAGACUACAGCGAAGGUCAAGUGAGCGUCAUCAGAUUUUAAUGUAGAGAGCACCAACGACAAAUUCCCGUUUAUGGCGGAAAAUUGAGCGAGAAGGGGACGUUCCGGUAGGAAAAGGGAAGGGUGCAUCGUCGAGUGGAGUUUUUGUGUUGGAACCGCGUGUUGGAGAUGAUGGAGGAUAAUAUGGAAAACCACAUAUCUUCCUCACAUAUAGGUUGGAUUUUGGUGAUCCCAGACUAUCUGAAUGGUUGGAUUUUCAGGAGCCUUUUAGGCGCCUAUCUGAUGUUCGAACACUCUCGGACAUAUGAGAGAGAAAUGGGCUUCAACCUUGGAGAUGAUCUUAAUCAUUUGUCUUGUCUAAUUCAUUUUUAUAUAUUAUAGCCUGUAGCAACACACGGGCAUUCCACUAGUAUUAAUUAGUGCUCUGGAAGACACCCGUUAAGAUGUGCUUCCAACACUCGAAGUGGGGGAUGUGUCCAAAUUAUGUCUUGACCGAAAUGCGCCCUGCAUCAAGAGUCAGUUGUCUAGCUGUAUGCCCUAUUCGCCACGCGGAGUUUCCUCGGUAAUUAAGGUAAAUCAAACAAAAUCAUUGGACAUUUAAUGACUACACCUUAUGCAUCCCCAGAGAUUGGAUCCACCCUACCAUACUAAGCCCUUCUAUCACUCGUGUUCAGAAUUGCACUUCACGUUGUCCCGUGUCCUAACCUCCACUUGGACCGAACUCCAGGAUCCAUGCAACCUGUAGGGCCGAAGAACGAGGUUGGGGGAGAGAGAGAGAAGAGACUACUAUGAUGUAAUUUUAUUUUAUAUAUACAUGACGUCCAUUCAAAGUCAUUCCAUCAACCCCUCAAACAAAUACAUCAGGUUGCAGGGACAUUGGACAUUGCCUUACCGAAUUACUCACACAUGGCGAUCGGAUCGCAAGAAGUAAUCAGUGAAGAAGACAUCGGAUCAGAUCACAAAACAAAGAGAGGAUUUCACAAUCCCUUGCAUUCAUCAGUCAUUAGUGGCAAUAUCAAUGGGAGUAUCAUAGAUUUUAUAAGAUAAACAUGUUUAGACUAUGGCAUGAUGAGCAUAAAAGUAACACACGUCAACUCUUCAAGAUUAAACUUGAUCAUCCUCUAGUAACAUAGAUAGAAAUCCAAACCGUAAGGAACUAGGUUGUUUAAUGCCUAGAUAGACCUCCGCUUCUUCACAUGAAAAGUUAGUAUAGCUGUAGCGGUGACAUGGUUAUUAUGCAAGUGUUAUUGAAGCAAAGAUAAUCAACACAAAGCUCUUGCUCACCUAGAAAAAAUAAAAAGUAGCUUUUAUUCUAUUUAAUCUAGUUAACACUUGCUUGCGGGGAACACAUGGAAGAGAAUUUUCUUUCUUGAGCAAUGAAAACAUAAAUUAAGGGAGUGAAAGUUAUGAAAACACAACAUGAUACUAGAGUAACUCAUUAACACCCACGAGUGUCUCAUCAUUAAUUCUCGCAAGGACUUCGCUUCAAUCAUUGCUUGCUGAAACUUUUCUUGUCUAGUGACGAGAUUAUGCCAAAGAAAUUAUUCAUGCAUAAGGUUUCGCAGAGGCUUAAGCUUGAGUACUAUUGAUGAGUCCAAAUUGUGUGAUUAUUUCUACGAGUAUUUUGUGCCAACUCCAUAGGCUUUGUGGAAUGUUACUGCGUUCACACACUAUUUUUGUCAUUUUUCCCCAGGACACUUCUUUUGGAACAAAUGGAAAACUAUGGUAGGAAUCACAUGAUAUUAUGGUGGAAUCACAUAAAUCAAUGUGAUUAUACCUUACCAUAAAUAGAAUAAAAUACUUAAAGGAAAUUGGAUCUGGCGCAGUCCAACAAAGUGCAACACGGGCAACCAUACGAGCGCACGUGCUCGUGCAUGCAGCCGUAUGGCAUGCUGGUAGCUCCCUCCCGUCGACUACUUCUUCCCUAUGGAUAAAGAUCGCCGAAUAGACACACACACACACACACACACAUACACACAACCACCAGAAACACAUCCAGGAGGAGAACCCUAACUUUUUGAACCCAUCCAGAGGGGAAUUGGUAAGGAGGAGAUCGCCAUCUUCACCACCAGGUGCAAGGGGACGUUGGCAUCAUCACCACUGUCAUCAUCAUCAUAAUCCACAUCAAUCUUCAUCUCGUUGUAAUAUCAGAACUCUAGUGGAUCAUCAUGCGUGUUACUUGUUUGAUUCAUCCAUGUUUAUCGUGCAUAUUCUGCUUCCCCUAUGUAUGAGUAAACCCCCUAGUUCUUAGGGAUAUGGAUGAAUCUUGGUAUGUAUAGGAGCUGAAACGUUAAUAUGUGAUAUUUUCUGUUGAAUGAUUUAGUUUAAUAGACUUCGUGAAUGUUGUGAAGGCUCCUCCCUCAAAAUUAUCACCGAAAGGUCACAAAGUAUAUUACUGUCGUUUUAAGAGUUAGCGAGUGAAGGUAAUUCGAGGUGACAGCAAAAGCAUUCACCCCUAGGUUUUACAAUUGAUUAGGGAAUUACGGAGAACCUUAGUGAGGCCGCGUCCAUAGAGAGACCCUUAAUUACCGUAGUCGUAACUUGUUGGGGGAGACUACUGUAGUGGCAUGCGUGGCAUGAAGUCUACCUAGAGUAGAAUGUGCUCUGUGCCCGGCUAUGCCCGGUGUAAACGUCAAGAAUGGUGUAAGUACAUCUAGUGCCUCCUUUGUGGUUAUAGACUACUGAAGACAAAUGUGUUAAGAGACUAAUGUGUUUGUGAGUGUACAUAGGUGAAAAGUCACAGAAGAUGUUGUUUAACCAUGAAAGACGACCCCUAAAAAUGUACGUUUAGAUUGAAUAAAUUGGUGCGCCCCUUUGAAGAAAUUGACGUGACGAAUUGGAACGUGAAGAUUUUGUUCCAGUAGUUUCUUUUUUCUUAUAUUGAUUCAUAGGAAACACCAUACUGUUAAAGGGGGUCUAGGUCAUAUGUAUGCGUAUUUCCGAAGUGAUGCUCAACCUACCUAUUUCUUCGAGUGAAGACUAUGAAAAUCUCUUGAAGUGCAGUCGAGUUCCACAACAACAGAGACACAGUUCUUCUGUUCGUUGACGAAAUUGGUCUGAAGGAAGAGUUAGGAUUUCGCCGGUGUGAUUCUCCUACCGUGAGAAAUUUGAGAGUUUAAAUUUCCAACCGUUGCCGGACUAAGGCGGUUCUCGAGUCUAAGCCCGUCAUAAGUGUUGUGGCAACGGAGGUGCAAGAAGUGCUGAAGGUGGGGUACUAUCGAUGUCAUGGUGAGCGGUCUGAGGACCGGCAUGUCAUUCGCCAGUGACAAGAGUUCCGAGGUGGUGUACAAGUCAUCCUUCAUGUGUUUCUUGGUGCAGGUUCGGAGCUAGCAAAAACACAAGGAUGCUGAACAAAAGCACCCCAUCUCAUAUGAGCUGGCGCUAGUCCAGCCUCACCGUGCUGCCGCCACCACCUAUGUUAUUUGGCUUCGCAAUCCCCUCCUCCACGGAGAGAGGCAUGGGUUUACUUGGUGUGGAGUUCGACGUCACCUGCGGCGAGAGUGGAUGUCACAUAACUUUACAAGUGGGAUCCACCAAGAUACAGUGCCAUGUAGGCAAAGUUUGCGGUUACAUGCGAGAAAUGCACCAUAUUAGCCAACUGAUUGUACCAGAAAUCGAUUUCCAUCUUUUGGCAUGAAAAUGAACAUGCAAGCCAAGUUUAGGGACCACGGGUAAAUUCAUCUCUUAAAUAAUACAAAAGGCUUUUUCAUCCUCCCACAUCCUCCCUUUUACUCAUUGGAUAUCCACACACUACAGAGGAGCUUAGUAGCAGCGCUUUUUAUAAGAAAGCGCUGCUGCUAAAGAAUGGUAGCGCUUGUCACCGAAGAGCACUGCUAAUAUCCAUCUAGCAGUAACGCUUUUGUUACAAAAAACGCUACUACUAUAGUUGCCAACGGUUGCAUGGCAGUGUAGGUAUACUAGUAGCGCUCUUAAUUAAAAAGCACUACUGCUAUUGUACAUAGCAAUAGCGUUGUCCUCUGUCGAGCGCUACUGCUAUUUUUUCAGGUGUAUGUGUGGGCUGAUAUAUAACUGUACAACUUUCUCAUGUUGCGAGUGAAAGACAUUGUGAGUUUUCCAUGAUCUUGCUUAAAUACAGGUACGACUACUGAACUGAAAUUAAUCUUAUCGUGCAUAUUCACUUGCAAUUGGUAUUCGUAAAUCUACAACACAUGUCAUUAAUGCAACACAGCUUGAUCAUGGAUAUAAAAAAUGAUUAUUGUUCUUUGUAUGCACAUAUGUAUUGGUGGUUCAUCAAUGCCAUAUGCAUCUUGGCUAUAGAUAUCCAAAUUGUUAGUGUUUUAUCUCCACACAAAUAUGUUGAUCCUCCUAUUGGACAUGCUGGUCUUAGUGCCCUCUCUAUUCACAAAUAUGUUAAUGCUCAGUUUAGAUCUUCUCGUAUUAAUACACUUCUAGCUUCUAUUGGAUGGUGAAUGCAACAUUUCAUUUGUAUUAAUAUGUCUACUUGUUAUUGCGGGGAAUAUUAAUAUGUCUAAUGUAGCUUCAUUAAUGCAACUCAACUUGAUCAUGGUUUAAAUGAUCAUUGUUCAUUUUAUGCCCUUGCAAAAAAAAGAAGGGUUCAGUGUAUGUAUAGAUAUAUUGACAUGAUACAUGUUUUAGAUAACCUUGCAUUAAUAUGUCUAAUUUCCAUUUCUGUUCUCUUUCCUCGUUCUACAGAUUUCAUAUUUGUAUUCAUUUUAAGAGUUCUUCAAGAUGCACAUAAUUUAGUCACUGGUUACAAUCUAAAUGUAAGAAAGCACAUAAUCUGUAGAACGUGCAACCUAUGUGUUAUCCAUGUGAUAAAAUUAAAAUCAACAUCCUAGAUCAAAUGUCCAAGUCAACUAAAAAGAGAUUUCCUUACAAGUAAUGUCAAGCCGCAUUUUCAAAUCACAAACAGUUUUGAGCAAUGAAUGAUCUCAAAAAAAAAUCAUCCUGCCUGCCACCGUUUAUCUCUUUGGAUGUCCACAUAUUGUGUUUUUUUUAUGGUGAGCGUCUGUGCCAAUAGAUAAACUAACGAGUUUUUCAUCUUGUGAUCGAGUCAAAGAUAUUCGAUUCUGUGUUUUUCAUGAUCUUGCUUGUACGUACGACCAUGAAACUACUAUUGUUAUCGUGUAUGAAUACUUGCAACAGGGUGCUUCAGCGCCAGCACCGACCAUGGAUGCACAUGAGUAUGCAUGGAUGCGUGCAUGUAACGACCUGAUCGCUCCUGCAGGUGAAAGUACAUGUUUCUCUUAGGUCUGUGCACCAUCAAGGCCUUGAACAGUUCCUUCAUGAGUGUCAAGUGAGACUUCAUGUCUCUAUGGUGAACAGACAAACUUCAGCGGAUAUGUUGCUCUCAUGGCACGGCAAAGACAAGAACAAUAGAUGGACUCUUGCCACUAGUAGUAUUGAUCCACGCUUGACACAUGACUACUCAUGGAGAAGACCCAUUCCUUUAUAACAUUUCCCUUUUAUUCAGUCUGUUUUGGUGAAUCAGCAGUUAGAAGAACUUCUUCUUCUGUUAAAAAUAGGUUUUCUAACCCAAAUUAAAGUUAGAUUUCACAAGGAGUGAACCAGUGACAUUGUUGUAUCCCCUUGAAGCAGAGAAGACAUGGGUGCGACAAUCAUAUUUCCAAUCAUCCAGCUGGUCUUUUACAAGUAUCCCUUCUUGAAUACUCGGUUCAAUAAAUAAGUUGUUCACACUUCACAGCCAUCCAUGUGCAUAUAUAGUAAGUUAAUAACACAAAAUCCGAGUAAAUUUAUGCGACAAUAAGGUUUAUUAUUGUUAUUUCAAAUAACUGAUGCGACAACAAAUAAUAUUAAUCACGGACAUCAUAUGAUAUUAGUAAGGUGUUGUUGAGGAUGAGAAGCAUGUACAACUCCUCGUUUUCUCUGAUGAGCGCCUCCGCACCAGGCAUAUCUGGAAGCUCUAACCAACACAUGAUGAUAGGGUUGUAAUUAAUAUCCACACAGUCGGGCAGAUGCAAGAACUGCUGCCCACUCUUGUCACCUUGGUAGUCCUUGAUCAGGCCGUGGCACACGUUGAGGCGUCUCACCACACCUUCAUACUCCACCUCACAAUAACUGAGAACAUGCAUUGCCACUGUUCCCUUCUUGGCAUCUUGCAGCUUUUGCUUGAUCUUACGACUAGCGGCAGUGACACGGCUCUUAAAGAUGUCGACAGUGACAAGCACUAAGUCACGGAGGUCCUUAGCCUCAGCACUUCGAUUGUCCGACUGAAGGGUGGACAAGCAGAAUUCUUGCGUGAUAGAUUUGUUGUAGGGGUUGUUGAUCGAGGCCUUCUUGCAUGUUUCCACCAUGAGCUUGGUCGCCUUGGGCUUGCCAGUGUCAGAGCCACUAGCAUGAGCGGAAAAAAGGAAGAAGAUGAUGGUGGAGAGGACGAUGGUAGUCCUUGGCAUUGCUACCAUUACUACAGGGCUAGCUAGAAGCCUUGAAGUACUGAAGCGCUGAGAGGGAGGUGGAGAAAAAUAGACAGAGAAGGAUGUGUAUUGCAGAGAUGGAUGGGUGGAUGGAGGUGAUGUACAUGAGGCUGAGAAUUCUUUAUAAUGCCUGCAAUGGGGUAUCAUAAAUGCAGUAUGCAGCUUUGGUCCAGAAUAUGUGUACUAUCGGUGUCCAGUAAAUGUUGAAUGCCCAUUUUGGAUCCCUACAUAUUAAUGCUCUCUCUAUGUUCCACAAAUACACAGAUGCUCACUAUAGAUCGUGUUGUAGUAACACAUAUCUUACUUAUAUGAAUCCAUUAAUGCAACGUAGCUUGAUCAAGGAUAUCCCAAAUGAUUAGUGUGCACCGAAUGCCCAUAGAUAUGUUGAUGCUCAUUUUGGUACGUCUUAUUUGCAUUGGUGUUUUCUAAACAUCAUUUUGUAUAACUGAUUUGUUACUUCUACCUCCCUUUGGGGGACGAUUAUAUUUUCCCUCAUCAAGUCUAUAAUUGCUCAUUUUUUCUUUGCAAUUUUCGAGUAGUUACAAAUAAUUCUCAGGGAGCAGGCACUUAGUUAACUUGGUGACACAAUAAAUAUUUUUGUUAAAAUAUCAAAAUUUUAUAUUUUAAAUUUUUUUAUUUCCAAGUCGAUUAUUGUCUGAUGGGUUGACUUUUACAACAGUUGUAUUCCCCCAGUUAAAAAUCACAACUUAUUUUAGGGAUUAAAUGAUGCCAGCCGGACUAACGUAUCGUUCGUAGGCACUGUCAAAAAAUAAGCAUGUUUACUGCCCACCGCCUAAGAAAAUCAAAACAAAAAUUACCAAUACCAACACGUCACAGUAUGGGUUUAUUCGGUUUCGAUUCUCGUUACUACGUAGUAGGAAGGAAAAAAAAGAGCUAGCGAUCAUAAGGAGGUAACCUGUAUCAUAGGUACAUGAUGCGCACGUACACGCCGGUAUCUUAUAUUUUAUAUUUUAUAUCUUAUAUUUACUAAUUGGAAGCACCUUUCAAGUCUUCUCAUUAAUCAACAUUAUAAAAAUUAAAUACACCGUUGUAGUAUAGAAUUUACGUCUAAGAUGAAAGGAGAACUUACGUAACAUAAACUUGGAAGGGAAAAAGAUAUAGGGAAAGGAGAAUAAAAAUAGAAGUAAAACAAAGAAAAUAAUUUAGAUGGGCCAGCCCAUUAUUGUUUGCCUUGUGCGAAAUUCUGACUAUUUAUGGCGCUGUGCGGAAAAUAGAGUUUUUCCAGCUGCAUGGGCAGAAAAAUAAGUGGGCUGGCUUUGCUGGGCCACCGCGCGUGGCCCACGUACAACAAUUCUUUUUCUAGCAAACAAACGCAUAAGACCUUUGUACCACCUCGGGUAGAAAGAUUGUUUUUUCGACGGUGAACGGAUGAAAAUAUAGGCAAAACGCACCUUGCUUCAUUAGUAGUAGCACAUAUGCCCGUGCAUUGCAACGGGAGAGAUGUUUCUUUGGAGAAGCAAUGGGAGAGAUAAUUGAUGUCUCCACCAAAAAUGAUCUCCAUAACGGUGCGGUUAGUCGGCAUAGCGGCAACCAUACAACUCGUGCAUUUUUUUCCUUUGGGUCAGUCUCUGUCUCGGGGUUGUGUCUGCCUCUACGUUUGGUAGCUAUGCGGCGACCUUUAGAGCACGGUUGCUUCGACCACUCUCUCUUACGAUGGCGUAACCGGAUGAAUUACUAAUUGUAGCGCUUAAAUCCUGUUUCAUUAGCAUAUAUAUUUAGCGCAUAACCAGAUAUCAAUGUCCCUUCUUUAUUAGGGUUUAUUUUCUUUGAUUAUUUUAGGGCUCACGUGCCCACAACUAUUUUAUUCGAGCCAAACCAACAUAUUCUCUUUUAUUGGACCAAGAAAAAAUUGCUCCCUCAGACGACCCAGUAGGGAGUGUGGUUGAGGCCCAAUACAGCCUAUGCGUCGGAGCAAUGUUUUUCUUGGGCCAAGUAUGUGGGGGCUACUAUAUGACGCUAGUUGCGUAAAAUAACGUGUGAGAUGCACAUCAGUUCGUGUAUGGACCAACACACUGGUAGGCGCCAAGACGACCUAUGUUAGGAAGGCACGGAAAAAUCCAAAAAAUAAUGAGUUGAAGGAUCAAAAUCAUGUCCUGAAAGACCCGACUACGUGCUCAUAGCCACUCGAAGAAACGAGUCCUACCAACCAAUGGCCAGCUCAAACCUUUAAUAUCAUACUCCAAUGUGAGAUUGGAUACAAUUUUUUUAACUGUUUAAAACAUAUAAAUUGCUGAAUAUUCCUGAAAACAUGAAUAAUUUUUAAAAUCAUAAACACUUUUUGAAAUUCUUUACAUUUUCAGAAAUACACAACAAAAUUGGAAACCCUCAAAAUUCACAAAUUUAUUUGAAAUCAUAAACCUUUUAUAAUAACGUGAACACGUUUUGAAAAUGCGAUUUCGUUUGAAAAAGAAACAUAUUUUGAACAUUCAAAACAAUUUUUGAAAAUGUGUUUCUAUAAACUUGGACAUUACUUUGAAUUUGCGAACACUUCACUAAAACAAAAAUAUUUUUCAUAUUUGGAACAUUUUCUAAAUGCAUUUUUUUUGGGAAAAUCUCAAACAACUUUGGAAAACACAAAGAAAAAAUGGAACAUUUUUUGAAACCUGAACAAAUUUUGGAAUGAGAACAAAGCACUACUGGGAAGAGGCUAAUUAGUGGCGUACAUAUUUUUGCUAUUAAUGACGCACUAUAGGUGCGCCACUAUUACCACGCCACUAGUAACAAAUAGUAAUAGCGCACCAUUACUAUCACAGAUAGUAAUGGCGCACCUAUAGUGCGCCAUUACUAUGCCUAGAAGGUGCGCCAUUACUAUCUGACUUAGUAAUGGCGCACCACAUAGAAGUGCGUCAUUACUAACAAAAUUUUUUCAUAAAAAAAAUUUCUAAAUUUUUUUCAUAUAUUUUUUCCCUUUUUUUCUUAAUCUCAGGUCAAUAUGCUUAAUCUCAAGUCAAAUCGCACUCCGUGGUCAAACUUGCCGGAAGGUCACCCAUCCUCACACUACUCCGGCCCGAGCACGCUUAACUUCGCAGUUCUAUCCAACCCCAGCACCAGCUUACUUAACAUGCACUUGUUGAUAUAUAUCUAUCAUAUCGAUCCUAUUAAACCUUGUUGAUGUCUAGAACUUUAUUCAUGUUCAUGAGUGUGAUGAAAUUUCAAACUUCCCGGUCCUAUUACGUAUCAUAUUUUGAAAAAAAAUUGAAACCAAUUUUUUUUCUGUUACUAGUGGCGCACCUAGCAAAUGGUGCGCCACUAGCAAGUUUGAUUUUUUUUCUUUUCCCCACUCUAGAUCUUAAAAGCCUCGUAUCUUUCAUUCUGUUAGGUUUUUCGGGAUUCUGAAAAUCUUGUAACUUUUUGAGUAGAUGCUUUUUCAUAUAUAAAACUUUUUAAUCCGAGUUCGUAUGUAAAAGUUAUGCCCAUUUUACUAAAUUCCAGAGAGAUUUUUUAAAUAAAGUCGAAAUUCAUAUUUGUAAAUUUUCCAACAACUAGACCACAUAUCACAUGGGAAAUUUAUUUCCUUUUUUUUUUGACAUUUCCAUCAUUUUCUUUUAUUUUUUCUAAAACUGAAACGGCGGUCCAGAGGGGUGGGGGUGCAAAGAAAGUAAGUAAUGACACACCUUCACAAAGUGCACCAUUAUUAUGUGUAUGACUUGGUCAAACCUUGGUCAAAGAUAGUAAUGGCACACUUUGUGUAGGUGCGUCAUUACUAAGUUUGACAUAGUAAUGGCGCACCUAUGCAAAGUGCGUCAUUACUAAGUUUGAUCAAGGUUUGACCCAGUCAUACACAUAGUAAUGAUGCACUUUGUACAGGUGCGCCAUUACUAUGUCAACUAGUAAUGACGCACUAUCCUCUAGUGCGCCACUGCUAACAAUUUUUUUAUUUUUUUCUUCAAAACUAGUACUAGCGCACCACACACCAGGUGCACCACUAGUAAUAUAUCAAUAAUGACGCACCUGUAUCUGGUGCGCCACUGCAUACAUGGUGCGCCAUUAAUGUCCAAAUUAGCUAUAGCCCUUUUCCUAAUAGUGAAGAUUUAAUGUUCUGAACAUUUUUUGAAAAGGAAUAUAUAUUAAAAUCCCAAACAUUUAAAAAAACGGAUUUGUGUGAUAUUAUGAGUUUUAUUGAAAAUUUUGGUUUUAUGAAUAAAGGGGAGAUAGAGAAAUAAACUUGAAAGGAAAAAAGAAAAAAGAAAAGGAAAGAAAAUAGAAACCAAUGGAGAAAGAAAAGUAGAAACAUAACAUAGAACAAAAAGAAAUGGUUCAACCAAGCUCGAGCGCCUUAUGCGAAUUUGUGACUAUUUUGGAAUGAGAACAAAUAUUUAUAUUAUAAACUUUUUCAAAAAAGAAUAUAUUUAAAGUUCUGAACAUUUUUUUAGAAAAUUGAUUCUUAUGAUAUUAUGAAUGUUUUGAAAAUUUUGAAUUUACAAAAAAAUGGGAGAAAAAUAAACUUGAAAGGAGAAAACACCAAAGAAAAAGUGAAAGAAAUGGAAAAAGAAAAAUAGAAACAUAUUUUAAAGUUCUGAGCAUUUAAAAAAGUCGAUUUUUUAUGAUAUUAUGUAGUUUUUUGACAAUUUUGAAUUUACGAAAAAAGGAGAAAAAGGUAAACUCGAAAGGGAAAAAGACCAAACAAAAGGAGAAAGAAACGGAAAAAGAAAAACAGAAACAUAACACAAAACAAAAAAAGAAUAUAUUUCAGCCCAGCUUGGGCGCCCAGUGCGAAUUUACGACUAUGUAACGCUAAUUGCGAUAAAUAGGGUUUUUCCACCUGCAUGUACACAAAAAUAACUGGGCUGGAUUUCGUGGGCCAAUACUGUGGGCGGCCCAUGUACGAGAUCUGGCGUUUUUCUUUUCUAAUAGACAAACGGACAAAAAAAUUGUACCACCUCGAAUAGAAAAAAAAUCUUUUCAUUGGUGAACGGAUGAAAAAAUCAGAGAAACACACCUUGCUUUAUUAGUAGGUAUAGAGGUAUAGAUAUAGAUAUAGAUAUAGAUAUAGAUAUAGAUAUAGAUAGUAUGGAUAGAAAAAUGAAAUUUUCCAUCCAUGCUAAUCAUAACAUAAAUUGUUUAAGAAUUCGUUGGUACACAUAAAAACAUCUAAUGUGAAUAAUCUAUGGUUCUUAUAGUAUUUGCUAGGAUAUCAUGUAUGUUAACGGAAAGUCAUGCAUGCAUGUGUCCAUUAUUGUGUAUAGAAACAAAGUAUUUAUAAUUCUACCAUUCUUUCGUGGCAAAAACAAGCAUGUAUUCCUUCUUUUAGGUUAACUAAGAAAGGCUACAAUAGAACACUCGACCUUUGUGCCUUUUAGAAACUUCUAGAUCACGAGUGCAUGAUGCACACAAUAACUUUUGCGUUUGUAACCAUGUUUUCUACCAACAUAAAAAAUAUACCCUUAUAUAACCUUCAUAAAGUAGCACAUUCUUAUUUCCACAUAUCUUCUAUAAAUUUGACGUGAUUUUCCAUCACACAGCGAUAUUUUUAUACUUUCGUCACAAAAUUGGACAUAAACAAUCAAUCACAAAAUAGUCAAAGAAAUGUAACUUCAUUGGAUCCAAUGUGCAUGUGUAAUAAUAAUAACCUAUAUCCAAAUGAUUGUUUGAUAUUUAUAAUUUGUCAAAAAUAUGUUAUAUCUGAUAUUACAAUUGCUAGCCCGUGCAGGUGCACGGAUUGACGACUAGUGAUAUGUAGAUAGAAUUAAUUAUGAUUACCAUUCAAUAAUUUUUCUUUAUGGAUAUCCAAAUUUAUGUUUAGAAUCAACAUUUCUACAUCAAUUUUUUCCGGGGAUUUUUUUUACUUAGUAAACAUAUGGAUAUUUAGAAAAAAUUUGUGCUAAUUGUGUGCUCUCCUUAGCCUAUGUUACAAUGCAUGGUUUUCUCGGUUAUUUUAGAAAAUGCAUGUAUUUCUCUAUUGCCAACUUCUCACAGAUGCAGUUAAGUUUCGUAAAAGUUUAGAAUGGCAGCCAACACGAAAAAGGAUAAAAGUAUCAUCAUUUGCACAUUUUUUCACCUUCUUCACUAUCUAUAUUUAUAAGGAUAUUCACUUUGCGAUUUAUGUUUUCCCAAUUUGCUACAAAAGCGCAGAACGAACAUUUUAGAAAAUAAAUGCAAAAUGUGUAAAAUAAAAUGUGUAGGUACAUAAUUAAAAAUCUUGGACGACGAUAACUGCCACACGUGUGGCAUCUAGGGGGUAUGUGCCGCACGCCCCGUGUGGCAUCGACACAGGCCCGCCCGCACGAGCACGUCCGCGCGCACCCCACCACAGCCCGCACGUUCGGUGUGUGGCGCAAUCGCCCGCACUAGCACGUCCGGGCGAGCGACCUCACGGCCCGCACGACCCGUCUCGGCCCUCGCCCCUCCCCGCCUGCGAGCCACACGCCCCGCGUGGCAGUAACCACGCGUCCCGCCGUGAUUGCCAUGGUCCGAACCCUCUUCCAUGUUCGUUUAACUGUAGUUGCCAUGUUGCUGAACUGCAGUUGCCAUGUCUGACAACUACAGUUGCCAUGGUUGCUCAACUGCAGUUGCCAUCUCAGGUCAAGUGUCGGAUGCCAUUUUUGGGCAACUGUAGUUGUUGCCAUGUAUGAUCUGGUCUACUAUAGAUGCCAUGAUUUGAAAACUUUAGGAUUUGCCGCCUACUAACACUAGACAGUUGCCAUGUAGCACUACAAAAACAUGGCAAAAAACAUGUUCGGGUAAAAGAGAGAGUUGCCAUCUGCUUACAAGCACACUAGGGCAGUUACCAUGUACCCUGCAAAAACACAUGGCAAUUGAUAGCUUUUGGUGUGUGGGAGAGGAGACGGGCAUGUGGGCGACGGUGGUAUCUUUAGGAGUUGCCACCUACUAACACUAGACAGUUGCCAUGUAGCGCUACAAAACAGACGUGUCAACAAUAACAUGUUCGGGGUAAAGAGAGUUGCCAUCUGCUUAUAAUCACAAAUAGGGCAGUUGCCACGUACUAGCACUGGACAGUUGCCAUUUAGCGCUACAAAAACAGACGUGGCAACAAUAACAUGUUCAGGGUAAAGAGAGUUGCCAUCUGCUUACAAUCACAAAUAGGGCAGUUGUCAUGUACCUUGCAGAAAACAUGGCAAAUGACAACUUGGUUUGGGAGAGUGGGAAAAAGGGCAGUCAUGGGAGAUGGGGAACAGAAGUCGUGCGCGGCGUGCGGGCGCGACAGCAGUUCCACCGCACGCCCCGACUCGCAACCGGUCUCGUCCGAGGGAGAAACAGCAUGCGGGCGAACUACCUACACACCACACACCGGGCUUGUCCUACGUGGCACACCAAAUCCAUCUUUUGGUGUCAGGAUUCGUGCAAAAAAUAACCAACGACAAUCCAGGCGUGUGGGCGAGUUGAAGACGUUCCACGCGUGUGGGCGUUAAUGUUUCCGAAAAUCUUAUAUCUCCGUCUCAAACAAAAAAAAGCCUCCUUCCAUAAGAAACAGCUCAUACGUGAAACUCUUCUCGCCUAUUAAAAAAAAGGAAAAGCAUCCCUCCCCCAAAAAAAGAGAAAACGUCUCCACUAGCUCCUGUACUUUUUUUAGGCAACCACGUCUCCUCUAUAUGGUCAGAUCUUUCAAGACUUCUUACUAAUCAGAACCACUACGUUGUAAAUUUAUAUCCAAUAAAGAAAACUUGCCGAAUCAUAGAUGGUCUCGUCCAAAAAAAAUGUCAUGUGAUACGUCCAACGUUGUCAAAAAAACAUUCUCCGUUCCUUAAAGAGAAAAGAUAGCGUCCUUAGAAAAGCACUACCAAUAAAAGGAAAAGAAAGACGGAAUCCAAUUGAUGACCGAUGAAACUCCAUAAAUAAAAUCUUCUGUCAAUCGAUUUUAAAAGAAGAAACAUCUGGCUCAGUUCCUCUACAUGGCCGCAUACUCCACUUCCUCUUCAAUCCUGCUCUCCUACAUGUGGCUGGUGGUGGCGAUUUCUCUAACCGAAGGAUAUACCCAACUCGCCAUCACCAUCAAGUGCGCUCUCCCACCAGCAGGGCCAACAACAAACUGCAAAGAAACCUGACGACAGGUGCUGCGAGGUAUGAUGCAAGAUCGACUGCGACCCCAAGCGGCAAUCGAUCUUCCUCAUUGUUAUUGUCACCGCGUCUCCUUCCAUCCACCCCGGGCAUCAAAGUUCACCCUAUUUUAUGAUAAUAAAAAAGUCCAACUACCAAGUACAACCUCUAAUAAGUUCUUCUUGGAUUCAUGCUCCGACAAGACUAUGAUCCAACUAUGAUAAUAAUGGAUUAAGGCACGGAUUGCUAACACUUAUCUGCAUAUAUAGUACGUAUGCAUGUCUUUAUUUUGGUCUUAGAAAAAAGAGAAAAUUAGCUAUUAAAGCAUCUUUAAAUACAUACAAAUUACCGAAGUAACAAGAAAAUAUGGAUGUACCAUGCGCCACGAAGAUCUAAUAGACACACGAUUAUCUAUGUGGUAUAGGUAUGUAUACAGUAUGGAUAGAAAAUAUAAAAAAAUGACAUCCGUAUUAAAAAUAUAAGAAAUUCUUUAAGAAUUUGUUUGUUGAGACUAGAACUUAAAACCGGAAUAAUCUAUGGUGCUUAUAGUAAUGAGAAUAUACUACAAACUUUUGUUUGCCAUCACACAAUGACAAUAUUAAUAAGGUUGUCACACAAUUGGAGGCAAACAAUCAAAUAACAAAAUAGUCCGAAGCAAUGUAACACUGUUGAACCUUAUGUCUAACAAAGAUAAACAUGCAUGUGUGACAACAAUAACCCAUAUCAACAUAUUAUUAUUGUCUGACAUUUCUAAUUUGUAACAACUUUGUUGUAUGCAAUAUUAAAAGUGCUAGCCCGUGCAUGUGCACGGGUUGAUGACUAGUAUAGUAUAACUCUGAGACAUGCCUAUAUAACCUCUUAUUUGCAUACGUUCUUUUAAAACAUAGCAUAGACAAACCACAUUACAUUAUAAUAAUGAAUUUGUUUUUUCUCGGUGACAGGGUAACUGUUAUUUCUAUGUCGACCAGUUGUAGCUUGAAAGAAAGUGUUAUAAAACAAUUAUGUUACUCCCUCCUCCAUAAUCUAGUGCGUAUAGAUUUUUUCUAAAAGUCAAACUUUCCAAACUUUGACCAAGUUUAUUGCAAAAACAAAUUAUAUCUACAAUAGCAAAUAUAUUUAACAUGAAACUACAUCUUAUGGUGAAUCUAAUGAUACACAUUUGUCAUUCUAGAUGUAAAUGUCUUUCUUCACAAAUUUGGUCAAACUUUGUGAGGUUUGACUUUUCAAAUAAAUUAUAUUCACUAUACUACGGAACGGGGGUAGUAUAUUUUAGGUAUAGAAGUUUUCAACACACAUUUUCACAAAUUCUAAGAUUAAAAUUGCAUAUUAUUUGUUAAAAAAUUAACUAUCUAAUUCUCGUUCAACAAAGAAUCAAUAGUCUAGGAAAAUGCGAGCACCAUUGUCAAGUCUAGGACAUGAAGCCUGAAGGGCUGCGGAUACCAUUGUCCUCCUUACCAUUCAACCAGAGGUUGGUUCACGUUGGCUCUCACAUGUUGACGGUCGUGUGCAUCGGUAUGAAGUUUUAUUUCGGACAAAUUUCCUAUGACAGGCCGGCUACUAGAAUUAUCGUUACCCUAGAAAAUGUUGCCAUGGUUCAAAUAAAUCAAAUUCAAAUAAUCCAAAUUUCAAGUAAGAUAUAGAUGAUAUUAUUGACACAAAGAUGGUCAUGGCCUCUUGGCUACACAUGAUUGUUUGCUAGAGAGGGUCGAGGAAUUGAAUUCCGUUUUCCCACCAAUUUUUUUGCGAUGUUACUUUGGCUGCCCAUCGGAUCUUCGCGCUUGAAAAGACUGCAUCCAUAGAGGUAAUGGGAGAGAUAAAUAACUUCAAAACAUCAGAAGAACACAAUGACAACAACAGAAUUUCAGGAGCCAUUUUAAAGAUAUGUUCCACAGGGAGGGACCGAUGGCAUCAUUUUUAGCCUUUGAAGCAAAAAAGACGGAUGACCCCAAACAAGUCUCCAAUUAUCCUAGAAAAAUAAAGAAUUUAUUCAAAACCAUGCAUAUUAAUAUAUCAACAGACAAAAUCAGAGUAAAAUCAAUGCCAUGAUAACUUUAUUAUUAUUAAGAGUACAAUUAAUUUCACAUCAACAUAUUUUCUUAGAAAAAAACAAACAUUAUAUAGUCGAGAAACAUCACAUCUGGUGCUACCAAGGCAGUGUUCAAUUUAACCAGCAUGCCCAGUUCACUGUUUCCAUUGACCAGAGCCCCCACUCCACGCAUAUCGACAAGCUCGGAGUCGCACUCAUCGACAUAAUCAUAUGCCAUAUCCACACAACUGGCGAGCUCAUUGGACCGUAGCCCGUCCUCGUCGCCUUGGUAAUCCUUGAUCAUGGGAUCACAUAUGUUGAGGACGCUCAACACAGAGUCAUAUAAUCCACCUCACACAAACUAAGGUCAACUCCACCGUGUGACUUCAAAUGGACGUCCGUUUUACCCGGAUUCUGUCCGUUUGGAUAGGGCAAUGGGGUCGCGUCCGGGCGGGAUGCGCUGGCCGUUCGCCCAACACGCGGACGCAUCCCGGCCGCAUCUUGUCCGCAUAGAUUUUUCUUUGUAAGCCCUUAACUUUUUUUCAUCAUUCAUUUUUGAUACAUGGAAUACAUCACCAAAUUUUGAAUAGAAAAAUAAGACCAAAAAAAUAAGAACCACAAAAAUACAUUUUAGAAGAUAUUUAACUUCCAUAACUGCUCCUGUAAGUUGGAUUAGUGCCUUCUCGAUGCAUUCAUUGUUUAUCUGCAGAGGAGGCUCGAUCUUGCGUGCUUCUUUCUUCUUCGAGUCUAAAGAAGUAGAGGUUGCUUUCUCGCAUCUAGUCUCAUGUCUAGCCUCUAAUCUAGCAACAAGUGCACUAGUCUCAUCUCUAGCCUCUAUGCUAGCUAAAAGUGCACGAACAUCUAAUAAAUUGCGCUCUAACAAUAUAUCGAUGUACUCUUCUUCCCAAUACCAAAACUUGCAUCCAUGCUACACAAUAAAAUUUUAAGUUAGCACGCAACUAGUCAAAUCUAAGAGCACAACCGAACCUAAAAAGAGCACAUACCCCAUCAUUUAAGCAUUUGAUGAACACCCAUCCUGAAUGUUCCGGCGUUGUAGACAUGCGGCCAACGACCUUCUUUGGGCGGUGGUCGCACUUAAUUAGUGGCAACGGUGCACCGACGAGCUUUUUGGCUAGCACCGAGCCCGGCCGAGCGUCAUAAGUGUAUCUGACGGCAGACCACCAACGGUGUAGAUCCGAGUGGCUAGAGGAGGAGCCACUGCCUGCAUGCGGCCUUGCGGCCCUGCCAGGGCCUUCCGGCCCAGUGCCCAGCCAGUCCAUGGCGCGGCGCGGCCUCCCACAGCCGGGCGAGCUCGAGGCUGACCGGAUCUGCCCCAAAUCCGGCCGGCGGGUGCGCAAAUCAGGUGGCCGUGAUUGGGUAGCUCGGGGGCGCCGAGGGGAAGGGGUUGGGCGAGCGCGCGUCCAAGCUGCACAGCUACAAUGGCAGCGGCGGCGGCGAGGGGAAGAGUGGGGAAAAGUGGAGAAGAGUGGAGGGGGUGCGGCUGGAGGAAGGGAGGGGGGCAGAUAGAAAAAGGUGUCCUUGUGCCAUCAACGGGCGGGCCAGGGAAGGACACGCGCAGACGCCCCGCCCGUCCGCGUGCUGUCCCUUUCACCCCAAAAGCGGCGCAAAUAUGGGCCGGGGAUGGGUCGAAAGCGGACAGAAAACGGAUAAAAAUUUUGCGUCCGCGGUUGGGCCGUCUGGUUCGUCCGUUUUAUCUCAAACGGACGCAUGCGGACAGGAGGGGGGCGCGUGGUGGAGUUAGCAUAAGGACACGCAUUGGCACCGUGCCUUCUUGCUUCAUGUGUUUGUUGUCUUCGCACAGGAGCUCUAGCACAGACGUUCUUAGGGUCAACCUCUGUCAACACAUGGGGUGGCCUGUUCGGCACGCCUGUGUAAAAAAUCAUGACACAGGCAUGAGGUAAUAGUUAGGGGUCUACUCCCUAAUAGUAUAUAGGACAAAGAUCAAUGGAACGCUCAUUGUUGUGGGCAGCGAGUUGCCAGAAACAUUUCUUCCUGCUCUGCUCUGCUCGCUCCUCCUCCAGGCGACAGACUCCUCUUCCCGGGAACGCACCCACAGUCGCCGGUGAAAGAUCCGAUAACAAGCGUGACAUCAUAUUCCACCAUGGCGUGGGUGCCGAGCAUAGUGCCCAUCGCAAGGCUAGCCUUCACCGCGCUCGUCGGCGUCGCCAACGCCGUGCUCAAUGCCAGCAUGAUGGCUGCCGCGUUUCACAUUCACCGUGCUGCCUUCCAGGUGUUUGAUUAAAUGAGCGAACCAAAUAUAUGUUAUAGGGAAUUAAAUUAUAGUUGUUCUUCUUUUUUAGCCCUAACAGUAGAACAAUCGUUAUACAAUAUUUUCAUUAAUAAAGAAAAGUUACAAAAUACAAAUAUUAACAAUGUAUAGACCUCUCAGCCUAUCCCUGUUCUAGGAAUUGGAAGUCAUGCCAUUAUAAAACCAAGUCAGACCAUUGUUUUAUCUUGCUUGCCUUUUCUUCUUUUGCCCGGAGUUGAACAGCCCAUAGUCCUUCCUCCAAAUAAAAUUUCCAUGUAUCUGUACUAGAAGGUGCUGAUUUGAAGAUGUUAUCAUUUCUCACUGACCAGAUGCUCCAACAACUCAUAAUGAUGAUGUCAAGUGCAAAGUCUUUAGGUAACUGAUUGGCAAUGAGAAGGAAUUCAUCAAAAGUAGAGAUGCCUCUGGUUCUUCCUAGUGCUAUAAUAUCCCAACAUGAGAGUGCAAAUGGGCAAUUCCAGAACAAAUGGAUCAAAGUUUCAUCCACAGCAUCACACUACUAAGGAAAACUUUAUACACAGAGAUAUAGAAGUAGCGCUGGACAAAAUGAAGCGCUACUGCUACUUAGUAGUAGCGCGUUGCGGUAAAAGGCGCUACUGCUAUCCUUUUAGCAGUAGCGCGUGUUAGCAAAACGCGUUGCUGCUAAGUUUGAACUGGGCGCACAUGGCUGGCCCCACUUAGCAGCAGUGCGUUAUGCAUACCUAGUGCUACUGCUAUGCUCCAUACUAGUAGUGUUUUUCAUGAACCCGCGCUACUACUAACCCUACCUUAUCGUUCCCGCGUGGCCGACCCUCUCCCUCUCCCUCUCAGUCACUCUCCCCAGCACCCCCCCCUCAUUGUCCGCCACCGCCGCCGUUCCCCAGCCACCGUCGUCGCCGCCGGCACGGACGCUCCUACUCCUCCAAUGAGGUAGCCCCUCCAUCCCUCCUCCUCCCUCCUCCCAUCCCUCCUCCUCCCUCCGCGCCCUCCUCCCUCCGCGCCCUCCUCCCUCCUCCUNNNNNNNNNNNNNNNNNNNNNNNNNNNNNNNNNNNNNNNNNNNNNNNNNNNNNNNNNNNNNNNNNNNNNNNNNNNNNNNNNNNNNNNNNNNNNNNNNNNNNNNNNNNNNNNNNNNNNNNNNNNNNNNNNNNNNNNNNNNNNNNNNNNNNNNNNNNNNNNNNNNNNNNNNNNNNNNNNNNNNNNNNNNNNNNNNNNNNNNNNNNNNNNNNNNNNNNNNNNNNNNNNNNNNNNNNNNNNNNNNNNNNNNNNNNNNNNNNNNNNNNNNNNNNNNNNNNNNNNNNNNNNNNNNNNNNNNNNNNNNNNNNNNNNNNNNNNNNNNNNNNNNNNNNNNNNNNNNNNNNNNNNNNNNNNNNNNNNNNNNNNNNNNNNNNNNNNNNNNNNNNNNNNNNNNNNNNNNNNNNNNNNNNNNNNNNNNNNNNNNNNNNNNNNNNNNNNNNNNNNNNNNNNNNNNNNNNNNNNNNNNNNNNNNNUCUGAUCCCACCGCCCUCCUCCUCCUCCUCCCUCCUCCCUCCUCUCUCCUCCCUCCUCCCUCCAUCUAUUUUUUUUUCUGUUUUUUACUGUAGUUUUUUUUACUAUUGUAUGUAUAGAUAUAUUGAUACAUGUUUUAGAUAACCUUGCAUUAAUAUGUCUAACUUCCAUUUCUGUUCUCUUCUCUCGUUCUACAGAUUUCAUAUUUGUAUUCAUUUUAAGAAUUCUUCAAGAUGCACAUAAUUUAGUCUCUGGUUACAAUCUAAAUGUAAGAAAGCACAUGAUCUGUAGAAGGUGCAACCAAUGUGUUAUCCAUGUGAUAAAAUUAAACUCAACAUGCUAGAUCAAAUAUCCAAGUCAACUAGAAAAGAGAUUUCCUUACAACUAUUGUCAAGCCGCAUUUUCAAAUCACAGACAGUUUUAAGCAAUGAAUGAUCUAAAAAAAUCAUCCUACCUGCCACCGUUUUUCUCUUUGGAUGUCCACAUAUUGUUUUUUUUUCAUGGUGAGCGUUUGUGCCAAUAGAUAAACUAACGAGUUUUUCAUCUUGUGGUCGAAUCAAAGAUAUUCGAUUCUGUGUUUUUCAUGAUCUUGCUUGUACGUACGACCAUGAAACUACUAUUGUUAUCAUGUAUGAAUACUUGCAAAAGGGUGCUUCAGCGCCAGCACCGACCAUGGAUGGACAUGAGUAUGCAUGGAUGCGUGCAUGUAACGACCUGUUGGCUCCUGCAGGUCAAAGUACAUGGUUCUCUUAGGUCUUUGCACCAUCAAGGCCUUGAACAGUUCCUUGAUGAGUGUCAAGGUGAGACUUCAUGUCUCUAUGGUGAACAGACAAACUUCAGCGGAUAUGUUGCUGUCAUGGCACGGCAAAGAACAGAACAAUAGAUGGACUCUUGCCACUAGUAGUAUUGAUCCACGCUUGACACAUGACUACUCAUGGAGAAGACCCAUUCCUUUAUAACAUUUCCCUUUUAUUCAGUCUGUUUUGGUGAAUCAGCUGUCAGAAGAACUUCUUCUUCUUGUUCUUCUAUUAAAAAUAGGUUUUUAACCCAAAUUAAAGUUAGAUUUCACAAGGAGUGAACCAGUGGCAUUGUUGUAUCCCCUUGAAGCAGAGAAGACAAGUGAGCGACAAUCAUAUUUCCAAUUAUCCAGCUGGUCUUUUACAAGUACUAGAAGAACGCCCGUGUGUUGCAAAGGGGUCACAUUACCUUUAAGAGUUCAAUAUUAAUAUUCUCAUACAUAUCAAGUGACAUUGGCGACUUUUUUUACCAUCAAAUCCUCACACACACACACUCUCUCCCUCCCUCUUCCUCACUCUCUCCCCCCCCCCCUCUCCCUCUAUCUCUCUCUAACNNNNNNNNNNNNNNNNNNNNNNNNNNNNNNNNNNNNNNNNNNNNNNNNNNNNNNNNNNNNNNNNNNNNNNNNNNNNNNNNNNNNNNNNNNNNNNNNNNNNNNNNNNNNNNNNNNNNNNNNNNNNNNNNNNNNNNNNNNNNNNNNNNNNNNNNNNNNNNNNNNNNNNNNNNNNNNNCACAUACACACACACAUAUUCAUCUUAUUGGGUACGGGACCAUAAUCCAUCUAUUUCACACACACACACACACGAUAGUGCAUAACUAUAUGGAUGUGUAUUAUAUUUGCCAUCACAACUGAGGGAAUUAAUUUCAUGUAAAUCGACCAGCCACAGCUCCAAGAAUACGCGGAGGAGGUGGCCCGGGUCGGCAUCGGCGGAUGUCCGGCACGGGCCACGGGCCCGCUUCCAUGCGCGUCUGUGCGCCGGCCACCCACGCCGGGUCCUUCAAGUGCCGCUUCCACCGCACCAAUUCCUAGGGCCACGGCCACGACCACGGACAGGGAAGCCGCCCUUCUUUGCCCCCUUCACCGGCCGCGGCGAACGCGGUGCCGCGGCAUCCGACCUCGCCGUCCUCGUCCUCCGGCACCGCCGCGAUCCAGUGACGCAGCCCAAUCAUCGGCCUCGAGAAUCAAGAACGCUCGACAACGCAGAGGGAAGGGAAGAUCAUUACAUGUCAUAAGAAAGGGAGUUUAUUUACUGCUCCCUCGAUGUAUUGUUUCCUUUGUUUGGAGAUUGAUUACCAUCCGUGAGUUAAGGUAAGGUUAAUGUGAUUGAGCGAUUUUUCUGAAAAUCAAAUAUUUGUUUUCUAAUUAAUGUGAUUGAGUGAUUUAAGGUAAGGUUAAUUAAUUUAGAUUUGAUCUUUAGAGAUUGUUCGUGAUUGAUUCUACAUUACUAAAUAACUUGCGUCAGUAUGGAAAGUUCUGAUCUGUUUAGAUUUCUUUCGUUGUGUGAGAGGGUGACGCGAAAAUAAACCGAUGAAGUGGGGGGGGACGAAAAAAAAUCUAUGAAAAAAAUCAGCGAAGGUGGGAGGAGGUACCAAAAAAACCAUGAAAGGUGGGACGAAAAAAACCUGAAAGCGAGACUACCAACUGCUCCAUUAGGAGUAGAGAUCCCUUCUUGAAUACUCGGUUCAAUAAAUAAGUUAUUCACACUUCACAGCCAUCCAUGUGCAUAUAUAGUAAGUUAAUAACACAAAACCCGAGUAAAUUUAUGCCACAAAAAGGUUCAGUAUUAUUAUUUCAAAUAACUGAUGCAACAACAAAUAAUAUUAAUCGCGGACAUCAUAUGAUAUUAGCAAGGCGUUGUUGAGGAUGAGAAGCAUGUACAACUCCUCGUUUUCUUUGAUGAGCACCUCCGCACCAGGCAUAUCUGGAAGCUCUAACCAACACACGACGAUAGGGUUGUAAUUCAUAUCCACAAAGUCGGGCAGAUGCAAGAACUGCUGCCCACUCUUGUCACCUUGGUAGUCCUUGAUCAGGCCGUGGCACACGUUGAGGCGUCUCACCACAUCUUCAUACUCCACCUCACAAUAACUGAGAACGUGCAUUGCCACUGUUCCCUUCUUGGCAUCUUGAAGCUUUUGCUUGACCUUACCACUAGCGGCAGUGAUACAGCUCUUAAAGAUGUCGACAGUGACGAGCACUAAGUCACGGAGGUCCUUAGCCUCGGCACUUCAAUUGUCCGACUGAAGGGUGGACAAACAGAAUUCUUGCGUGACAGAUUCGUUGUAGGGGUUGUUGAUCAAGGCCUUCUUGCAUGCUUCCACCAUGAGCUUGGUCGC
rnacentral:lncRNA from 1 species